CGGAUCUCACAGCCCCGACCAGCGCCACAUAGGACAACCACCGACUCCCGCUCCCGCUCCGGCUCCCAAUUCUCUCCGCAAUGGCGCCGCACUCCGCCACUCCCAGACCCGCUCCACGGCCUCGACACCCCUCCAAUCAGUCAGUCAGUCAAUCAAUGGCGCUCGCGCGGCGAGUAAGUGGGGGCGAGGGAUGGCGCAGCAGCGGAGGUACUACUCCCUACCAGCGUACCACGCCACCAAAGCAGCGCGUCCUUGGCCUUGGCCGUUCCGCGCCGGAUCUCCUCUCUCUCUCUCUCUCNNNNNNNNNNNNNNNNNNNNNNNNNNNNNNNNNNNNNNNNNNNNNNNNNNNNNNNNNNNNNNNNNNNNNNNNNNNNNNNNNNNNNNNNNNNNNNNNNNNNNNNNNNNNNNNNNNNNNNNNNNNNNNNNNNNNNNNNNNNNNNNNNNNCUCUCUCUCUCUCCCCCCUCUUCGGCCUCCACGAAACGGGACGGGGCUCGAUGUUACUACGUACUACGUGUGUAACAGCCGGCUGCUCCGUCGACGGCACCGGUAUAAAUAAAGGCGCGGUCCACGGCGCUGGCGCGUGACGGUGACGGUGGCGGGCGGGCCGGGCCCGCCGUCGGNNNNNNNNNNNNNNNNNNNNNNNNNNNNNNNNNNNNNNNNNNNNNNNNNNNNNNNNNNNNNNNNNNNNNNNNNNNNNNNNNNNNNNNNNNNNNNNNNNNNNNNNNNNNNNNNNNNNNNNNNNNNNNNNNNNNNNNGGCCGGGCCCGCCGUCGGUGGGAGAGCGGGGCGGCGAUGCUGUUGGGGACGGAACUGGGAAAUCAAUGCGGCGCGGGGGCCCGUUUGUGUCUCGGGGGAGAGGAGAUGUACCGGAUGAUGGGUUUUGUUUCGUUUGACGUGUGCCCCCGGUCGACAGUCUCGUGAUGCUACAGAAUGUGGGUUUUCUUGUAUUUUUCCCUGGAUUUGCUGGCAUUAUUAUACGAGUAGUAGUCUACUGGUCGAAUAAGUUAGUACUAGUGAUGAUGAUCGUGCUGGUCAUUAGAUCCCAAAUCGAGUACUGCUGUCGCCACAUGUCGUGUCUAAUCCCGGGGCCUGGGGGUGUACUGUAUUUUACGUGCAAAGAUGGCGCCGGUGGGACGUGGCUGAGGGAAACAUGUUGCAGCUACUCUGCAUUGUUCUGACAUUUUUGUUUUUCGCUGGAGAAAUGUAGGAGUAAAUAUGAGGAGCUUUUCUGUAAGAUGCUUCCAGAUCAAUACCUAUGAAGAGGCUGGGGGUUUGACCUCCUUUUCUAAAAAAAAUAAAAAAAAUCAAUACCUAUGAGCCGAACCGUUAGUCGCCAGAAUUAAUAGAAAUUACGUUAAUUUCAUAGAACAUGACACUGGAGUCGCCACCUCCUUCAACGAAACAAGGCAAAUCUUAUUGUAGUAGACAUUUUUAAAAGUUAUCGUGCUAAGCUCACACAAGACCAGCACACUCAAACGAUAGUCGUCGUCGGAACGUCGAAGGAUCCUACUUAUAAGCACAAAAACAUAAAUGAAUGAAGACCGGAUCUAAGUAGAUCCGUCGAAGGCAAACGUUGAUCAAUCACACGAUCCAUUAAAGACACACCUCCACAAGCCAGAACUAAAUGAACAAUCACGCUAUUCAUCAACUGUCAUUACAAUACAAAGAACACCAGCAUUAAUUUAAUAGAAAUUACAUCAAUUCCGUAGAACAUGACUACAUGCACUCGAGCGAGACGACGACCGCCGCCGCCUUUAGAGCCCCCCCCCCCNNNNNNNNNNNNNNNNNNNNNNNNNNNNNNNNNNNNNNNNNNNNNNNNNNNNNNNNNNNNNNNNNNNNNNNNNNNNNNNNNNNNNNNNNNNNNNNNNNNNNNNNNNNNNNNNNNNNNNNNNNNNNNNNNNNNNNNNNNNNNNNCCCCCCCCCCCGACACUUGAGAAGUUAUCGUGCUAAGCUCACACAUGACCAGCGCAUUGGAACGGUAAUCGUCGUCGAGGACGAGAAAAUUGAAGGACCAAUUUAUAAACACAAGAACGUAAAUGAAUGAAGACCGGAUCCAAUCAGAUCCAUCGAAGGCAAAAAAUCGAUUGAAUCGCACGAGAUUCGUCGAAGACACACCUUCACACGUCCUGCGAAGACGCUAACGUGAGAUCCAUUAGUCAUUGAUAAUUCAAUGGCUAGUUGUAAGAGCCUAAAAUCGACACUCCACAAGAUUCCCCUUUUUAUUAUGUUGUUGUCGUGUGAUUAUUUUAUUUGUGCAUUCAUCAUCGCAUCAUGUGCAUCAUCCGCAUUGCAUCGGCACUCCGUUACCAUCAGUUUUCAAAAAUUGCAUCCGUUGUUAGUUGCGGUCUCUCCGUUUUGUCGUUAAUCGUUUCGGGACUAACCACACACGCACGCGCCCGCGGCGCCGUUAAAAUAUUAUUUUUAAAAGUGUGUAUAAAACUUUUUUGGAUUGGGUUGAAAGUUGGUGUGCAGUCUUAUUAUAGUGUAGGUAGGUCGUAUGCCAAAUUUCAUCGCAAUCGAAGUCCGUUUGAUACCUUAAACCUAUAGCAACACUAUAGCCAACCGAACCGCGCAUGUUUUCGGUCUUUCUGAAUUGUUGUGGGGAUGCUCAUUUCCCUCUCUUCUCUCAGCGCAACCACUCCACACAACCCAACUUAGCGUAGCCCCGCGAUCGGAGCCGUCCGAAUACGAUCGAACGGCUUCAAACGGAGCAAAACCCCUCUAAACCUAGCACGUGUCUAUAAAUAGACUCCUCCCCAUGCUAAUUUUGGGUUUAAAACCCUGCCCUAGCCUCCCACCUCGCAGCUGUCGCCUCCCACCUCGCAAUCUGCACCGGCAGGCCCAACCACCACCAUUUGGCACCGCCCUGCUCGCCAGCCGCCCUCUGCACCGCCGCAUGCAGCCACUCGGAGCGCGCCACCUGUUCCCGCGCCUCCCACCUCAGCGCUGCGCGCACCCACCGACGGCAGGACCGCCCGAGGGCACCCUGGGCCCGAGCACCGCGCGCCCGCCCGUGACCGUCGCCCCGCUCGCCCCGAGCGCCACCCGGGAGCGUCUCCCGCUCUGCCCUGCGGCGACCUCGCCAACCGACUGUGCCGCCCCUGUCGUCUCGCGUCGCCGCUCGCCGUUGCGCCUCAACGCCGUGCUCGACCCCACUCGAGCGCGCCUCCUUGCUGCUCCCUCUUGCCACCCCACGCCUCUGCCCUGCCGCCGACGACAGCCCCGCGAGGCCAUCGUCCAUCGCCCGAUCUCCUCAGCCUCCGCCCCGUCGCCCUCCGGGCCGGAUCCGGCGGGAUCCAGCCGGAUUCGCUCGCCCCGCUGAAAGGAUCGAUAUGUUGACUAGAGGGGGAUUGAAUAGGCAACUAACAAAUUUUAAUCUUUUCUUUUAAGAAAUUAAGUUUAGCAACAAGUAGGUUGUCUAGAUAUACAACUAAGUGAGCAACCUAUAUGAUGGCAACAACAAUAAUAGUAAACAAGAAGUAAAUACAAGUAAAUAUAUGAAAUAACCACAGGUGGGACCGAUGAAGACGAUGAUGUGUUUUCGUAGUUCUUUCCCUUUGAGGGGAAGUCGUCUCCGUUGGAGCAAUGUGGAGGCACAAUGCUUCCCAAGAUGCCACUAAGGCCACUGUAUUCUUCUCACGCCCUCACACGAUGCGAGAUGUCGUGAUUCCACUAAAUGGUGCCCUUGAUGGCGGCGAUCAAACUUUUACAACACAAAGUUGGGAUAAUCUCCACAACUUAUUUGGAGGCUCCCAAUGAUACCACAAAGCUUCACCAUAAUGAAAUAUUGCUUCGAGGUGACCUCUUCCGUCUAGAGUUGCAUAUUGGGCUUCACUUAAUGUGUAUGAGUUGAUUGUUGUGCUUUUUACCAUGUCAUGUGUAAUUAAAUGGACAUGCAUCAUAUUUGAUUGUCCAUCAUGCCAUGAAUAUGUUGUGGUGUUUAUUGUGUGUUGAUUGUUAUUUUUAGAUUGUUUUUUCUUGGUAGAGUUCCGAAUCGCUUCAGAGUGUAAGAGUUCGUUCGACUACGCUGGUUCGUCUGCUUCACGAAUUCGUUCUUCUUCCAAGCGGGAUCACAGGCAAGAUGAUCAUUUUCCUAGAUACCAUUACUAUCAUUGUUAUGCUAGUUGUCUCGUUUAUAUCGCUAUGUCUUGCUGCCUACCACUUAAAUGUCACCCUUCCAACAUUUCCAUGAAAAGCUUCUGACCCCUCUACAUCCCAGCAAAUCACUGUUUGGCUAUGUUACCGCUUUCUCAGCCUUCUUAUAGCGUUGCUAGUUGCAGGUGCAGUUGCUUCCAUAUGAAAACAUGAGUUCCUUGUUACAUUACCAUGUUAUUGCUAUUAAAUUUAAUGCACCUAUACACUUGGUAAGAGGUGGAAGGCUUGGCCUUCUAGCUUAGUGUUUUUUUCACCUUUUGACGCCCUAGUUACUUGUGUACCGGUGUUAUGUUCCAUAAUUGAACGUUCCUAACAUGUUUGCGGUGUUAUGGGAACCCCCUAGAUUUUUGUUUUGGGAUAAAACUCUUCUCGCAAGGCCCAACAUUAGUACUACAUUUGCCUAAUAACCUAAUAAAAUUGCAUAGGGACUUUCCGGACCCCGUGGAUAACUAAUCAACCCCCCGGCCAGUGCUCCUCAUGAGUGUUGGUCCAAACUAGAGCCGUGUGCCGGGCCAACCCGGGGCAACUCAGGAGAUUUCUAUCAUACCACUGUAUGUUGUGCUUAUCCGUUGUGUCUUGAGAACGAGAUACGCUGCUCCUAUCGGGUUCGUCGACACAUGGGGCGCCCAUGCUGGAUUUGUUUUACCUUUCUCGUACGUCUUAUGCGAGGGAUUCUGAGGAUACUUUGGGCUAUCUCGAGGUUGAGGUUUUUCACCAGGAAGCCGAGGAGAUCACGGGUUUCCCGUGGUCGGGGUUUCCAACGCAGCUUGUGAUAGUUUUUGAUGGACUAGUUGGAGCAUCCCUGCACAGUUAAAUCUUUCACACGGCCGUGGUCGCGGUUAUGUGGCAACUUGCAAACGUUGUUUAACACCCGGUCAUAGCCAACUUGAAGUGAACUUAAUUAAAAUAUGACAACUGUGUGUAACCGUGACUGUCUCUUCUCGUGAGUUCUGCAUCCAGGGGAGGACACAAUGGGGUUAUGUCUGACGUAAGUACGUGUUCAGAAUCACUUCGAGAUCAUUGUUUGUUCACGUCUGUUAUGUGUAGAUCACCCCGUUCUUAUUCUCGUACUCGUAAGUUAGCCACUCAGAUAAAUGCUUAGUCGCUUGUUGCAGCCACACCACUUAACCAUACCUCUCCUAAUAAGCUUUGCUACUCUUGAUACCUUUGGAAAUGAGAUUGUUGAGUCCAUGUGGCUCACAGAUUACUACACCAACAAUUGCAUGUACAGGUAAAGCAAUACUUUGACGUGAGCGCGGUGAUUUUUCUAUUUGGAGUUUCUUUUUCUUCAUCGAUCUAGGAUGAGUUCCAGGCCGGCAGCGUGGGAUAGCAAGGAUGGAUGUCGUUCUUUUAUUGUUUGAUUUUUCUUUGUAGUCGUGCCAAAAUAAGGAUAGGAUCGCAUCUUGAACGUUACACUACUGUGACUAAUGUUACACUUAAAUAAUGGUAAUUAUUUUUUCAUUCAUUUCAUUAUUCGUUACAAAUAUGCAUUGAUGGUAAUCAAUUUUUAACAAAUGUAUAAGAAAUAUGACACCUAGAAACAAUUAUGCCAUUGCAUAUAAAAUAUCUAAAAGAAUUCAAAAAGGACUCGGGUCUAUUACAAAAGUUCAUCACAAGUAUAAAAUAUCUGAAAUAAAAUAAAAAAUACAUCAAGGUCCGUGGACCACUGAACAACCAUUACAACUGCCAAAAACAACCAUCGAUGCAUCGAUGUCGCCGCUCCCAUAGCAAAGUUAUUUUAACAUUGCCGAUAACAUCCGGAAAUUCUUCGUGUGCAUGCCCCUAAGAACCACGACACAAGAGUUGUUGUCAUCGUCAUUGAACACUUAUAUGGAUCUGAAGAACCUCACAUUAAAUCUUGUUACUGCGUACGCACGACGAGAAAACCUAACUCGAUUCCCAAGAGGUGGCGGGAAUUUAUGGCAAAACUCUUUCCAAUCCAUCUCAAACGAACUUGGAGAUGAACGGAGCCCGAAAGAUUGGCUCGAAGAAGAAGCAUCACCAUCUGUCUCAUCCUCGCCCCCGCGGGGCAUGAAACUCUAACUUACCUACUAGUUGAAGCCGAAGCAUCAAAAAUUUCCACAAACUCGCCAAUGAAGAUCGAGGGAAGGGAGAGGGAAAAUACCUAUAUCUAAAAGCGGUUAGAGUUUAGAUAGUACUCCCUCCGUUUCAAAAUAAGUGUCCCAAGCUUAGUAUAAAUUUAUACUAGAGCUAGUACAAAGUCGACACGCUUAUUUUAGAACGGAGGAAGUAGCAUUUGCCCUGUAGGGCCUGUUCGAACGUGCUCCGGCUCCGCGCUUCUGUGCAAGCGGGCGAGGAGCUGGCCGAACGGUGCAGCUUCAAGAAGCCCACUCGUGGAGAAUUUGCAACCCGCACUGCAAAUUUGAGAAGCAUCGAUCGCCCAUCUUCGCGAAAACGAGAAGCUGGAGUUGUUCGAUAUUACUACGUGCGAAUGCCCUCCUGAAGUGCCUCCUCCAAACGUUUUCCUCUCGCUGCAUCACGCCCGAGCCAUUUUCUCUCGCUACAGUGCACCACGAACCCUUUUUUGCCGCAGAAUGCUCGAGUUAGAGGGUGCUGGAUACGUUUUAGUCCCAUGACUAAAAGUAAUGAGACUAAAACUUGCUAGCCUCACCCAUGUUUGGAUCCAAGUACCAAAGAGACUAAAAUCAAGUUAAUGAGUAUUUAUUAUCCUCCAAACCCUUCAAUCCAGAACUUGCAUGAGGAGUUAAAUGAAGAGAAAGAGGACUAAUGCAUAUUUUAGUAGGGGUAUCCCUAACUAAAAGACUUUAGCCUCAAGACUAGUUUUAACCUCUCUUUAGUCAGGGGUGCUUGAAACUUUAGCCUUUUAAAAAGACUAGUUUUAGUCUAUUGGAUCCAAGCACCCUCUUAGCUAUCGCUGACUUCACUAGAAGUUGGCUCGUUUGGAAAGCGUGCGAGCUUCCGAACGGGCCCUUAGCAACCGAUGCCUCGGACCACGUUCUUCUCUUGGUAUAGCGAAACUUCACAAAUAUUUUAAAAUGGAGACAAAAAAAAAAUCAUCAUCACUUUACUAAGAAGAAGGGAAUUAUCAGUUAAUUUAUGAAAACUCGGGCAAAUACGGGAAAAUUUUUCUCAAAUAUGAAAUGCACUGCCAAAAUCAACUUGGGGUGCUUUUUAAAUACACGGAGCAUGCUGCAAUUUCUUUUUUUGAUGUGGCGACAGACAGACAGACAUCUCCUUUUCGGAGAUAUCAUUCUCUUGCGACUCCGCAGGCUGAAGAUUUGGAAACCGGUUGCGGAUGCGGCCGUGCCGACCGAUCCUCUUUUCUCUACCCGGGCAGAAAGCGCGUACUGCUGGCUUGUGGCUGGCCGGCGGUGCGGCUCAGCUUUCCGAGAGGACGGACGGGCACCUGGGGUGCCGCUGGCGCUGGAAAAGGCCAGCGAGCGGCGGCGCCCGCUGCCGGAGACACGAGCGGCAAAAGUGGCCGCUUGCAGCGAUCAAUCCGGCCACCCCCGGCUGGUCGUGGUCGAUCGAGUGCUCAGGAUCCGUAAUCGCCGUCUCGAUCGUGCGAUGCGAUGCGCCCGCACCCGACCCAACCCAACCCAACCAACCUUCCCCAACCCAGUGACAGCGUGCCCGACCACCACCGGUCAUGGGCACGUAUAGUGGGCUUGCUGCUAACACACUAUCUUAGAUACGAGCCGCUGCCAUUUUUCAUUUGAGGGCGUGCCAUCUUUUUUGUCAAGGAAGGUGAUUGAUUAACUGAAAAACGAGCCGUGAGUGGCACAGCCCAAGGUGAGUGGGGCAGUGAUGCCUCCAUAAAAGCUAGGCUAGGCUACGUACGGGGUACGGCGCUGUCCUCCGAUGAUCCCAUCUGGCCGACCUCUGCGCCGCGCUUUUCUGCCCAGCGUACCUCAACUCUACUGGCAGCGUGGAAAGCCUGUAGUGCGACCUCGGGGGCCUAUGCGAGCGGGUCGGUCAACCGGGAUCGACUGCUGCAAGUAGAUCAAAGUGUCAGCUCAUCUCUCCAUCACAAAUUCGUGGUCAUCGGCUCAUCGCCAUCUAGCAUCGGAUACGGGUGCGCUGCGACAAAUUCAGACGAAUGCAGAGACUGAACUGAACCUUUGCAAGAAAACAAUAAUUCAAAAACAGAAAAAACGUUGCGAGAAGCAGAUGGAACAAGCGUCGUGGCAUUAAUUGUAAAGUGUGCGACACGGACCCUACUAAGGCUGGACCAUCCAUCCGUGUCGGCGAGACCCGCCAGCCCAGCCUACGUUCGUAUCAUUCAUCACCGUAAUCCGAAAUAAUUCUCGACGACACUGGUCCUCUCGCUGGCCACACAGUUGUGCUGCUACUACUACCACGUAGCAGGCCCGCACCGACACAGCAUCCGUCUCCUGUUGUCCAUGGCUGCUCUACGCUCGGUAGAGGUCGUUUCACAUCCCGGCUUGUUUGGAGCUGCAAAACGGUUUCUUCCCUUCUUUUGAAUUUUGAUCUCUCUCUCUCGAGCGGCUGAAAUCAGGAGCGGUGCACGGCGCGUAGUCCCUUCUGCCGCCUGGGAAAGGUCGGAAAUGCCGGAUGGGAUCUUGCGGCGAAUCCACCCGGUCGGUCGCUGCAGCACGGUAGAUGCGGCCGAUGCGGCCAAGGACGCACGGCGCCCGAAUCCAUCUGCCGCCCCGCGUUGGAUGCCGUACGCGAUCACGGGCCGGGUUAGGUCAUCUCCAAUGGUUGUAAGAUAGUUGUUGGUAAUUUUGACAUAUAGAAUUUUUAAUGAUGUGUCAUACAAUAAAUGAGGGCAUUGUGAUACAAUAAUUUUGACAUAUAGGAUUUUUGAUGAUGAUUUUUGAGGGCCCUUAACCAAACGGGCGAGUACGGGCCCGCGAUGCCCUAACCCGCGAUCACGGGCCGGGUUAAUCUGAGGGCCGAGUGUGUAGACUGUAGAGCACGAGUAGAUGGAUGGGAAGACGGACAAAGAAGAACAGCUUGGAUUUUCGAACGCGGGCGUCGAUGUCAAACAGCAGGUUGGCGGACGGCCACUUUUAUUAUCCGUUGCGGUUGGGCGCAUGUACUCUACUACGUGGGAUGCGGCCAAGAUUGCACCGACGCGUUCGAUGACGUAUGAUUACGCUCGGCACCGCAGCAGCUGAAAUCGAACCGCGGCUGGCUUGGGCCUAACACGGGAGGGAGGGGCUUCUCCACUGCCGGUGGGCACAUAAAAACCGGCGAACAGCGGUCAGCGAUGAACAGAAUUAUCAGGAGCGACCAGCACUCUCAUCCCUUUCUUUCCUGAUUGCACGCACGGCCGUCUCAGUCGCUCGGUCAGUAUACAUGGAUUGAGACUUGGGAAUGGGACGUUGUCGCAUGGUAGUAGUGGCAGUUCAACACCAGCGUGACAUUUUUUAUUUUUUUUGGCUGAAUCGCUGCUUGGUACCCAUUUUACAUGCAGUUUUGGGAUCUACUCCCUCCGUUUUAAAAUAUAAGUCUUUUUAAAGGUUUCAUUAAAAGACACCAUACGAAUGUAUAUAGACAUAUUAUAAAAUACUAGCAAAAGGGUCCGUGCGUUGCAACUGGAGAAAAAAAUACCACACGCUUUUAAUCUUUUUAUAAUCAUUUUAAUUUAUUAAAAUAAUAAGCUAACUAACUAAUGUAGUCAGUCCUAUCCUAUUUUGUUGAGAAAUCAACCCAUUCAUUGUUAAUUCCAUCAUAAUGAGAAAUUGAGCGCGACAAGCAAAUCAAAACAAAGAGGCUACGUGAAUUGAUCAAUGGACUGUUAUCUUAUUUCACUCAUGGGAUAGAGAAUGUGGGAUCAGAUGACAAACUGAAGGUGGUGUUCCAUUCUUUGUCACACAAAUCCCCACAAAACAAAAUUUCUUGCCGGUGCUUGGCACACGGUUGGAGGCAUGGGGAGGGGAUCUCACCAGAUGAUGAGUUCGUGUCGGAGGAGGGGAUACGAUGAGGGGAGCAAGGGUUAGGCGCCUCUAUCUGGCCAUAAGGAGUCGCCGUUGCCGCGCCAUAACCUCGGAGUUCCCCGUGUUAGCCAUGGAGGCCCGCCUCCACCUGCAAAUACUUCGCUCCGCUGCGCCACCGCCGUUCUGCAUCGAGCAGACGCAUCAUCCCCGGUCACUGUAGCUGUCGCGUUGAUUUGAUCCAGAAGCUGUGCUCGAACGCCGAAACGGGGGCAGCAAGCGGGCAAAGGUACGACCGCGGAGGCGGGUGGGUUGAGAUCGACAACAGUGGUGGUUGAGGUCGCCCGCGAUGACGAGUGGUGUGGCAGCGGCCCGGGCACAGGCCAGGGUGGACUAGGGUCGACGCGAUGCGCUCGAGCGCCGCAACGGGGGCAGUGAGCGGGGAGAGGUACGACCGUGGAGGCGGGUGGGUUGAGAUCGGCAUCGGUGGCGGUUGAGGUCGGCCGCGGCGGCGAGUGGUGUGGCGGCGGCCUGGGCACAGGCCAGGGUGGCUCAGGGUCGACGGGAGGAGGCGAUGCGUACGGUAUAAGUUUUGCAGCGAAUCGUUUUUUCCUUUUGCGUUGCAGAUAAAUGACGGAGUGCGGGUUGAAUAACAAAAAUUACACGGUUUUUUUAUAAAAAAUACCGCGGUGGGUUUUCCGACGAAAGCAAUAGCCGCUUUAUUAUUAGGUAUAGAUAGAUUCAUUCAUUUUGCUUCGUACGUGGUCUCCUAAUGGAAUCUCUUAAAAUACUUAUAUUUAGAAACGGAGGGAGUACUUCUCCGUUCCUAAAUAUAAGUCUUUUAAGAGGCUUCACAAAAAGGACUACAUACGGAGAAUGGCGUUUUGGCUCCCGGGAGCCAUGGAGGCCUUUAUUUUUGAAAAAUUCAAAUUCAAAUUUUUAUGAUUCAAAAAAUUCUGAAAAAAAUAUGCAUGUAUGUAAAUAUGUAACCUACAUGUGUGUAAAAUUUCAGGUCAAAAUACUUUAAAACAUGAUCUGUAUAAAAAAGACAAAUUCAUGGUUUAAAAUGAUGAAUGGUAACAUGUGUUAAAAAGCCUCAGAUUUGUCUUUUUUGCACAGCCCUCAUUUCAACGUAUUUUGUUCUGAAAAUUUACACACUUGUGUAUUAUACAUUCAUCUAUCUAUGUAUUUUUUUUAGAAUUUUUUGAAACAUUAAAAUACAAAUUUCCACUGAAUUUGAAGUUUGAAUUUAAAGGCCUCCAGUGAGCUCGGGAGCCAAAAGCAAUAUUCGCUACAUACGGAUGUGUAUAGUCAUAUUUAGAGUAUAGAUUCACUCAUUUUGCUCUGUAUGUAGCCCUCUAAUGAAUUUUCUAAAAAGACUUAUAUUUAAAAACGAAGGGAGUAUAAGUCUUUUUAAAGGCUCCGCUAAAAGACUACAUACGGAUGUAUAUAGACAUAUUUUAGAAUAUAGAUUCACUUAUUUUGCUCUGUAUGUGGUCUUCUAAUGAAAUAUCUUAAAAGACUUAUACUCCCUCCGUUUGAAAAUACUUGUCCUAAAAANNNNNNNNNNNNNNNNNNNNNNNNNNNNNNNNNNNNNNNNNNNNNNNNNNNNNNNNNNNNNNNNNNNNNNNNNNNNNNNNNNNNNNNNNNNNNNNNNNNNNNNNNNNNNNNNNNNNNNNNNNNNNNNNNNNNNNNNNNNNNNNNNNNNNNNNNNNNNNNNNNNNNNNNNNNNNNNNNNNNNNNNNNNNNNNNNNNNNNNUUUUUAGGACAAGUAUUUCUAAACGGAGGGAGUAAGCAUGUUACGAAAAUGCGCCGUAAAAUCGGCAGGCAUGUACCGGAGCCAAAUGCUCCUUGCCCCCAACUCAAACUUUUUAAAGAAAUGUGGAUAGCAGAUCAUAUGAGUGAGAACACGAGGCACUGCAACUGAGCAAAUGGAGAACAGAAAAGCGACCGUGCUUCCUGACAAACAUGUACUCCCAGAUACUUAGAAAGCAUCUGAUCGGAUGGUCAAUUCAAAAGAAAGAAGAGAUUCGAUCGGAGAAUUUUUAUCCAAAAAGACCCCUUUCAAACGUCAUUGUCAGAAAAGACCACCUGUGAACACUAAAAACGAAAAGGACCCCCUCUCCGGGUGGCGGCACGCGCGCCAGGCGGCACGUGGCACGUGCCGCCACCGCCCGAGGCGGCUGGGGAACAUGCCGCCACCAGCUGAGACGGCCGACUGCGCACCCCGUUCCUGCCACGUCGCGUCGUAGCGGACAGAGCCUGGGUGGGCCCUGCCGCCACCACCCCAGGCGGCCGGCCGAAUCUCCGCGCGCUACGACAGCGGCGCUGAUUGCGCUGACUCCGAGGCUGCUGUCUUCUGCUGGUGGCAAACGGCGCUAACUUCCGGCAUUGACGGCGCUAACUCUCACCGACAAAACAGUGCACAUUAUCUUCUUUAUAUACCGACGCUGCCUCCUCUCUCACUCUCCCGUUGCCUCCUUUCUCUUGCUUCAGCACACACAACAACUCCUCUUCCUCACUGUCUUCUCUUUCUCUCAAGAACUAUGUCAUACAUAUUUUAAGUGCCGAUUUAGGACGGUUUUAAAUUGGAUUUUGAAGACGUCGUAGUUGAGUAAAAGAUAGAUCAAGGCAAGAGUUUUCCAUUUCUGUUGAUUGUGUUUGCAUGCAUGAUGUUUUUUAGGGUUAUUCUCACUGUCUUCUCUUUUCUCUGUAGCUGAAGAACACACUCCUUUGUUCACUUUGAUUCAAGAUUUCUGGUCUUUUGGGUUGGAUUUCUAAUAUGUUGCAGUUGAAAGAAAGAUAGAUCAAGGUAAAAUCAAUUCAUUUUCGUAGGUUUUGUUCGCAUGCACGAAAAUUUUAGUAUAUUUGAUUAGUUUUUUAAGUAUAUACUUUGUGUUGUAUGUUCACUGUAAUGUAUCAAUUUGUGUAGUAAAUAUAUAUGCAAGACGCACGCAUGCAACUAGCAUUUUUGUUCAUGUGAUGAUAGGUCGAUUACUUUCAUAAAUUACUGGUGACAUGUUUAUCCAUGCAACUGCAUUUUAAAAACCUUAGGAAGGUAAAAAAAAUAUGUGUGUAACAUUUUUGUUCAUGUGAUAAUAUGUCGACUCCGUUUUUGUUCAUGUGAUAACUGGUGAUAACCUUAGGACUGCAUUUUUGUUCAUGUGAUAAUAUGUGUAGUAAUUAUAUAUGCAAGACGCGUGUGUAAUAUUUUUGUUCAUAUGAUAAUAGGUCGAAUUCGCUGAUAUUAUACUGGUGAUAAGUUAACUGUGAUAUUCGGAAGGAUAUUUUUGUAUUCGUAAGGAUAUCCUUAUCAAACCAGAGGUAUGAAUGACAUAUUCUAAUUUAUGAUGUAUUUAUUUUGUAUAUGUAGUGUCGCCACAAAUGGUACAAUAUAAAUUAUUAUGCGUAGAUGUAUAGUCAUUUUGUGAAUAUUUGUCAAAUUGUUAUAUGUAAAAAAAGAUAAGUAAUGGAUAUUAUUACAAUGUAAAUAUAAGAAUAUGAUUUUUAGUGGACUAACUAUGUAAAUAUGGCUGCUCGUUAGGUACUAUGGAAAAUUUGUUAGUGUUUUAUGGGCACAUCGUACGUGAGGGUCCUUCUGGCGUGGAUGUGUCUAGGUGCGGGAUGACUACAGUUGUAGUGAAAGACAUGGUUAAUGUAGAGUAUGCGGCAGUUAGAAGGUGUAUCCGAGCAGUGUUUGGUUCAGCGAUGAAUGGAAAAAAAAUGACCAUGGAGGCUUUCGUGGUUGAGGGAGGAAAUCGUUGCGUCGUACAUGGGUUUUGCAAGCAAUCCCAAUAACUCCAUGUAUGGACAACCCAUGGUUUAUGUGGAGUUCAUUUCUGCCAGUGAUGUCGCCGAGUGCAGUAGCGGUGCCGGUGAGGCCGAGUUGGCCAUAACUGUAGCCCCCGACGCCGGCCCAUCGGAACCAAGGGGUGGCCAACAUAUGGCCAUAACUGUAGCCCCCGACGCCGGCCCAUCGGAACCAACAGGUGGCCAACAAGUGUAUGACACGGGAUAUUGGUCUGCGGUCGUUGACAUGAGCGAACAUGUCGAGGGAUUGCCGGAGGCGCUAGAUGAUGACGAUGAUGGUCAUUCUUCUCCCUCUUCGGGAUCAGAUGAUGAUGAAGUUGUUCCUCCUGAGAAGGCGGUCGCUGCAGCAAUCAACCCAGAGUUUUUACAGGUUAUGAGCAUCACCAAUGAAUUUCACUCUGUUGCUGGCCUAGACGCGGGGAGUCUGGCCGUUGGACAGAUUUUCCCAGAUAAGAAAUCUUCUAAACAAGCAAUACAUAGCUAUGCAAUUGCUAUACACAGGCAACAUAGAGUGAAGCAGUCUGAUAAAAAGGAGUUGAAGCUCAUAUGCAUCCAUCGCGAAGCGGGUUGCCGCGGAAGAGUUAUUGCUCGCCAGAAGCCUGGGGUAUGUGAGCCAUGGCAUGUCACAAAAAUAGAGCAACAUGGUUGUGAGCAAACCGGCACUCUUUCAGAGCACCGCAAUGUGACUUCAGAAUAUGUGUCACAGGUGAUGCAAACCAUUGUGCAGCAAAGUCUUAAUAUUAGUAUUAGGGCUUUGCGUGCAACUGCAUCUGAUCUGAUUGGUUUCCCUGUCAGCUAUAGCAAGGCUUGUCAUGCAAAGGAAAAGAUAUUUCAGAGGUUGUAUGGAACCUAUGAGGAGGCGUACUCUUUUGCCCCUAGAAUGUUGCAUCGGAUUUCAGUUGCUAACAGGGGGACUCAAGUUUUCCGGAAAGAACGUCCAAAUCCAUUGAACCCGGACGAGCAAAUCCUGGACCGCUUAUUCUGGGCAUUCGCUUAGACUAUACAAGCAUUCAAGCAUUGUCGUCCGGUUGUGUCAAUUGAUGGUACAUUUCUCACUGGAAAGUACAAGGGCACACUCUUAGUGGCGAUGGCAGUUGAUGCAAACAAUCAACUUCUUCCUAUUGCCUAUGCACUAGUGGAGAGCGAAAACAAACAUAGUUGGCUAUGGUUCCUGUGUUGCCUGAAGAUGGGUGUCAUCAAAGAUCGGGAAGGGGUAUGCAUCAUCUCUGAUCGCAACACCGGACUAUUAAGCGCGCUCGAGAUAAUUAAGGCUUCGCAAGAUCCAGAUUGGGGGUGGCCCGAUCUGGAGACAAGGUGGUGCAUGAGGCAUUUGGCAGCUAAUUUUUAUUCGAAAUUCAAAAACAAAGAUUGGUUCAAGCUAUUCAAGAGGAUGUGCAUGCAGAAAACUGCAGCAAAAAUGAAUGCUAUCUGGGCAGGUAUCAAUGGUCAGAUCGAGCGCGCAUCCCUCCCGACGAGAGAAGACCGGAGGGGUCGUCAAACAGUAAUAAAUUUGAGCCAGUGGAUCAGUGAGAAUUGUCCCAAUUUGUACAAGUGGGCGCAGUCUCAGGACACUGGCGCUAGAUACGGUAUAAUGACAAGCAACAUGUCCGAGGUGUACAAUGGUGUUCUUAAAGGGGUGAGGGCACUACCUAUCACAGCACUAAUUGAUGAAACUUGGAACCGGACUGUGUCAUACUUUGCAGACAGAGUCACCGUUGCCAAGGCACUAGUUGAUUUGAACAAGACCUGGUCUGAGAAGAUGCAAAGACAUCUUUAUGACAAAGAAAAGAAGUCGCAAAGACAUGGGUGCGGGCAGGUAGAUGCACUUAGGAAUAAAUGGCAAGUUAGUGUGCGAGCAAAGUUUGUUAAGGGUCACCACAGGGGAGCAAAAAAACAAGCUGUGACGCUUGGCGCAACCUCGUGUGAGUGCACUUGCAACAAGCCCAAGCUUCUGGGAUAUCCUUGCAGUCAUGUAUUGCGGGCAGCUGCACAUCAACAAAUUAGUGUCGAGCCAUACGUAUCACCAUACUUCAACAUGCACAAUUUGUACAACACUUGGAACGGUGAGUUUUGGGCAUGGGGCAUUGAUAUGAACUACAAGCAAUUAUGGCCAGAAGGGACCAUAUGGGUUCCAGAUCCCGCAUUGAUGCGAACCAGCAAGGGACGACGUCAGUCUAGGCGUCAUCGCAAUGACAUGGACCACAGCCAGUUGGGAGAACCAAGGCGAUGCCGCGUAUGUAGGUGUGCUGGUCACCCGCGUAGGGAGUGUCCAUAUCGUAACAACAACACUGCGUGAUAUGUAAUCAUGCUAUGUAUUUUAAUUUCCUCGUGAUGUAAUAUUCGGAAUAUUUAAUUCAAUUUCAUCGUGAUGUAAUAUUCGGAAUAUGUAUUUUAAUUUCAUCGUGAUGUAAUAUGUGGAAUAUUUAAUUUAAUUUCAUCGUCAUGUAAUAUUCGGAAUAUUUAAUUCAAUUUCAUCGUGAUGUAAUAUUCGGAAUAUUUAAUUUAAUUUCAUUUCAUCGUGAUUGCAGGUUAUGGCUGAAAUGCCCCAGCUUUUGAAUGGUUAUCACGACAACCACCACCGUUGUCAGCUUUUCAUAAAUCCAAAUCAUGAAAAUCCUCCUCAGACCUUCCGGCUUCGAACCGUAAAGACGCCCUGGUCAAUACAUAAUCGUUUCCUUGAACACCUUGAGGCUUAUGGACUCCUUCAUUUUGCAAACAUCGCAGCUCGUCGAGGUAGUUUUACUGCCGACCCAUCCCUUUUGACAUCCCUCGUUGAUAGAUGGAGACCGUAGACCCACACAUUUCACUUUCGAUGUGGAGAGCUUGCACCUACUCUAAAAGAUGUGUCAAUGAUCACAGCUUUACCAAUUAGAGGUGUGCCAGUGGUACAUCCACGAGUUUCUCCUAAUUGGCCAGCAGAUGUCUUUGGCCGUCUGAGGCUCGAAAUGCCCAUAUCAGAUCGUUCUGGUCCGCCUCGAGGUGUCCCACUCAGCUGGCUUCGUACUAACUUCGAAAUUUUAUCUACCCAUGUUGAUCCUGAGACAACGAAGAGACACUUGUUUGCAUAUUUAUUGUGGCUCUUUGGUGUGAUGUUUCCUAAUUCUCACGGGGAGGUAGUUUUGCCUGGUCUCAUCUAUUUUGCCGCAAAGAUAGUAGACAAACCUUUACCCCAAAAUCCAUCAUAUAGCUUUGGUUCUGCUUUGCUUUCUCACACAUACCGAGGGUUGUGUGAUGCCACUCAAAAAACUGCAUUCACAUCUAAAGCUCCGUUACUUUGUGUCUCCUACGAGUUUCUACAGUUGUGGUCCUGGGAAUACUUACCUGUAGGACGACCGCACAUAGUAGAACCCGCAACCCCGUACAACUAUGGUGAGGGUGUUGUAACUAUGUCCAGCCGGUGGAUGUUGGGUCGAAAAAAAUGGUCUACUAAAAUUGCAAAAAAUUGUUACCCCAUAUACCAUGAUCAGUUUGAGCUUCUUAACGACUCACUAAUAACAUGGAACCCGUGGACUGAGGCGCACAUUGAUAUGGUAUUUGGUUCGCAACACAUGCCAGUGGAAUGCGUGAGAGAUAGUGCCUUCUGGAUGACUCGCUGCAAUUUACUCUAUCUAUGGUUUGUGGAACCGUAUAAUCCGGACCGUGUCAUGAGACAGUUCGGUCUAUAUCAAGAUAUUCCACCACCGGUUCCAAGAUGUAUCGACGAAGAAACUCAUAAGUAAGAUGUGACCUAGCUAAAUAGAUAUUCCAUCACCUAUUCUUGAUUUUGUUUUUGUUAUCUAUAAUUUCAGGAUGAGCAAUAUGGGCAGAUCUGGUGUGGACUGGAAUGCAGAAAACAUUCAAUGGAUAAAUCAGUGGAAUAAUGAAGCUCUACAAAAUAUAGUGCCUCAGCAACGGUAAUUUUACUAAUGUUAAUUUAAUUAUGUGCUUAUAAAAUACAGAAUGUGAUGUAACUUUAGUAAUGUUAAUUUAUUUAUGCAGAACGUACGAUGCCACUACGACAUAAGCGUACUAUAAUUGGUAUCGCAUGAGCACACGUACUAGACUGACGAGUGAACCACCUACGAUGCCAACACAUCCAACGCAUAUGGAACAGUUGCAGAGACGGAUAGACACAUCAUCAGCUUACUAUCGUGACUCCGCGGUAAUCAUAAACAUCUUGCUAUUCAGGUCCAUCAUUUCAUGAACAAUUCAACCAACGAACAACGAUUUUUUUCAGAUUGAUAUUUGCACCCAAGUACAAGCGAUGGCGAGGGAAGGAAUCCGAGCCCAGGGAAUUGAUCCUAAAGGCAGGUCGUUCUUUAAAAAAAUUAGCGAAUUCGUCAGCACAAGGUUUACGAGAUGCGGUACAGAGAACGACGUUGUCACUGCAGCAUACAACAUUCCGGAACCGAGGUCAGCUAGACCGAGUGCGGUGCCGUCGUCGUCCAUGCGGUGGGGAGAGGGUCCUAAUACUACACCGACACUUCCAUGACAUGACUCGUCUCUACCAAUACAUGGGCAGACAUCACCGGUAAAUGCUCCAGAUUUAGGUUUGACGCCCGAACAGACUCAUUUCGUGGAGCAGGAUGCAUAUACUGUUGGGGAACGUCGCAUGGGAAACAAAAAAUUUCCUACACGCACGAAGACCUAUCAUGGUGAUGUCCAUCUACGAGAGGGGAUUUCCGAUCUACGUAUCCUUGUAGAUCGCACAGCAUAAGCGUUAAGAAACACGAUUGAUGUAGUGGAACGUCCUCACGUCCCUCGAUCCGCCCCGCGAACCGUCCCACGAACAGUCCCGCGAUCCGUCCCACGAUCCGCUCCGAUCUAGUGCCGAACGGACGACACCUCCGCGUUCAGCACACGUACAGCUCGACGAUGAUCUCGGCCUUCUUGAUCCAGCAAGAGAGACGGAGAGGUAGAUGAGUUCUCCGGCAGCGUGACGGCGCUCCGAAGGUUGGCGGUGAUCUAAUCUCAGCAGGGCUCCGCCCGAGCUCCGCAGAAACGCGAUCUAGAGGAAAAACCAUGGAGGUAUGUGGUCGGGCUGCCGUGGCAAAAGUUGUCUCAAAUCAGCCCUAAUAGCUCUAUAUAUAUAGGAGGAGGGGAGGGGAGGCUUGCCUUGAGGCUCAAGGAGCCCCAAGGGCUGCGCCACCAAGGGAGGAGGAGUCCUCCUCCAAUCCUAGUCCAACUAGGAUUGGAAGGUGGAGUCCUUCUCUCCUUUCCCACCUCCUUUUUUUUAUUUUCUCUUUGAUUUUCUAUCUAUGGUGCAUAGGGCCUUCUUGGGCUGUCCCACCAGCCCACCAAGGGCUGGUGCGCCACCCCCAAGGCCUAUGGGCUUCCCCGGGAUGGGCUGCCCCCCCGGCCGAGUGAACACCCGGAACCUAUUCGUCAUUCCCCGUACAUUCCCGGUAACUCCGAAAACCUUCCGGUAAUCAAAUGAGGUCAUCCUAUAUAUCAAUCUUCGUUUCCGGACCAUUCCGGAAACCCUCGUGAUGUCCGUGAUCUCAUCUGGGACUCCGAACAACAUUCGGUAACCAACCAUAUAACUCAAAUACGCAUAAAACAACGUCGAACCUUAAGUGUGCAGACCCUGCGGGUUCGAGAACUAUGUAGACAUGACCCGAGUGACUCCUCGGUCAAUAUCCAAUAGCGGGACCUGGAUGCCCAUAUUGGAUCCUACAUAUUCUACGAAGAUCUUAUCGUUUGAACCUCAGUGCCAAGGAUUCAUAUAAUCCCGUAUGUCAUUCCCUUAGUCAUUUCGGUAUGUUACUUGCCCGAGAUUCGAUCGUCAGUAUCCGCAUACCCUUUUCAAUCUCGUUUACCGGCAAGUCUCUUUACUCGUUCCGUAAUACAAGAUCCCGCAACUUACACUAAGUCACAUUGCUUGCAAUGCUUGCGUGUGAUGUUGUAUUACCGAGUGGGCCCCGAGAUACGUCUCCAUCACACGGAGUGACAAAUCCCAGUCUCGAUCCAUACUAACUCAACGAACACCUUCGGAGAUACCUGUAGAGCAUCUUUAUAGUCACCCAGUUACGUUGCGACGUUUGAUACACACAAAGCAUUCCUCCAGUGUCAGUGAGUUAUAUGAUCUCAUGGUCAUAGGAACAAAUACUUGACACGCAGAAAACAGUAGCAACAAAAUGACACGAUCAACAUGCUACGUCUAUUAGUUUGUGUCUAGUCCAUCACAUGCGGCUGAUUGUUGUCCUUUUUGAGCAUUGGUAAGGGCAACACGGAUGUUGUUGGCGCGGGCAAUGGAUUGGGCAGAGAAUGUUGGGGAACGUCGCAUGGGAAACAAAAAAUUUCCUACGCGCACAAAGACCUAUCAUGGUGAUGUCCAUCUACGAGAGGGGAUUUCCGAUCUACGUACCCUUGUAGAUCGCACAGCAGAAGCGUUAAGAAACGUGGUUGAUGUAGUGGAACGUCCUCACGUCCCUCGAUCCGCCCCGCGAACCGUCCCAUGAACCUUCCCGCGAUCCGUCCCACGAUCCGCUCCGAUCUAGUGCCGAACGGACGGCACCUCCGCGUUCAGCACACGUACAGCUCGACGAUGAUCUCGGCCUUCUUGAUCCAGCAAGAGAGACAGAGAGGUAGAUGAGUUCUCCGGCAGCGUGACGGCGCUCCGGAGGUUGGUGGUGAUCUAAUCUCAGCAGGGCUCCGCCCGAGCUCCGCAGAAACGUGAUCUAGAGGUAAAACCGUGGAGGUAUGUGGUCGGGCUGCCGUGGUAAAAGUUGUCCCAAAUCAGCCAUAAAACCCCACUAUAUAUAGGAGGGAGGGAGGGGAGGAGGCAGCCUCAAAACAUAAAGGUUUGGCCGAAAUUGGAGGUGGAGGAGUCUUACUCCAAUCCUACUUGGAGUAGGAUUCCACCUUCCCACUUGGAAACUCUUUCCACCUUGUGUUUUUUCCUUCUCAAACCUUAUGGGCCUUAGUGGGAACUUAUUCCAGCCCACUAGGGGCUGGUUUAUCUCUUUCCAUAGCCCAUGAUACCCCUUGGGGCGUGACACCCCUCCUGAUGGUCCCCGGCACCCCUCCCGGCACUCCCAGUACACUACCGAUGAGCCCGAAACUUUUCCGGUAAUGCACGAAAACCUUCCGGUAACCAAAUGAGGUCAUCCUAUAUAUCAAUCUUCGUUUCCGGACCAUUCCGGAAACCCUCGUGACGUCCGUGAUCUCAUCCGGGACUCCGAACAACAUUCGGUAACCAACCAUAUAACUCAAAUAUGCAUAAAACAACAUCGAACCUUAAGUGUGCAGACCCUGCGGGUUCGAGAACUAUGUAGACAUGACCCGAGAGACUCCUUGGUCAAUAUCCAAUAGCGGGACCUGGAUGCCCAUAUUGGAUCCUACAUAUUCUACGAAGAUCAUAUCGUUUGAACCUCAGUGCCAAGGAUUCAUAUAAUCCCGUAUGGCAUUCCCUUUGUCCUUCGGUAUGUUACUUGCGCGAGAUUCGAUCGUCAGUAUCCGCAUACCUAUUUCAAUCUCGUUUACCGGCAAGUCUCUUUACUCGUUCCGUAAUACAAGAUCCCGCAACUUACACUAAGUCACAUUGCUUGCAAUGCUUGCGUGUGAUGUUGUAUUACCGAGUGGGCCCCGAGAUACCUCUCCGUCAUACGGAGUGACAAAUCCCAGUCUUGAUCCAUACUAACUCAACGAACACCUUCGGAAAUACCUGUAGAGCAUCUUUAUAGUCACCCAGUUACGUUGCUACGUUUGAUACACACAAAGCAUUCCUCCGGUGUCAGUGAGUUAUAUGAUCUCAUGGUCAUAGGAACAAAUACUUGACACGCAGAAAACAGUAGCAACAAAAUGACACAAUCAACAUGCUACGUCUAUUAGUUUGGGUCUAGUCCAUCACAUGAUUCUCCUAAUGAUGUGAUCCCGUUAUCAAGUAACAACACUUGCCUAUGCCAGGAAACCUUGACCAUCUUUGAUCAACGAGCUAGUCAACUGGAGGCUUACUAGGGACAGUGUUUUGUCUAUGUAUCUACACAAGUAUUAUGUUUCCAAUCAAUACAAUUAUAGCAUGGAUAAUAAACGAUUAUCAUGAACAAAGAAAUAUAAUAAUAACUAAUUAUUAUUGCCUCUAGGGCAUAUUUCCAACAUAUACAGCAUAUGGCGCACACACUCAAGGAUCUUAGCCAUAUCUGCCCACGCGAGGGAUUAGGAUGCCCGAGGAGAAUUGUUGGGAUGAGACAAGCGAGGGAGCACAAAGCUACAACAGCGGUCAGGUAUGUACAAUUAUAAUAAGCAAUUACAUAACUUUUAUUUACACAUCCUUUAUUUACACACAGUUUAUUUUAAACACAAUUUUUCGACGCAGGAAAUUAAUGAUCCAUCAUGGGGAGAUGAACAUACCCAGCGUGACGUACAGAAAGAAAUACUCACAGAAACCCAUGAUACUCAAUGCACGCUCCGAGGAAUGAUAAAUGAUUUUUUCGGGCAGGACGUUAUUGGUCCAUCUUAUAUCAAUUAUGAGUCAGAGCCAUUCACCUACAAUUUAUAAUCAUCGUCUCAAUAUGGAUUUCAGACUCCACCACCUAUGCAUGAGUCGUAGACACAGGAACACGAGGGACAGUACGGCCGUGGUCUUCGUGAACACAGACCCCCUGAACGAUUGUCACCCUCCGGUCGUCGGGCAAGGCCAGCUGGUCGUCGUCGCAUAGGGUGAUUCGUCUAUGUAUGUGUGCGAACUAUUGCAUCUCUCUAUGUCAGUUUCAAACUUUCAGAUGUACGUACAAGACAUCUAUGUAGUUUCAUGAAAUAAAAGUUCUCGAUAUAUUUCGACGUAGUUUUCCAAUUUAAAGUUGCUUCCAUAAAAUAAGAUACAUAAAAUAAGAUACAUAAAAUAAGAUUCAUAAAAUAACAUACAUAAAAUAAGAUACAUUAAGAUGUAGAGUUCAUAAAAAAACUACAUAAAGUCGUCGUCAUCCUUCGACGAUGCAGAGCUCUGCCCUUUGACGAAGCGCUACUCUUGACCUUCGUCGAUGAUGCGAUCUUGGCCUUCGUCGAUGAUGCGCUCUUGGCCUUGGUACUCGGCAUGAAGAUAUCGUCUUCGUCCUCACUAUCGUCAAUCCAUGAAAAGGGAUGUUUUACUCCACCUCCACCGCGUAUGUGUUGGCCUUUCUUCUUCCAUCUUUCAUUCAACCGCAGAAGUUCUUUCCGAAUCUCCUCAUAUGUCCUUGCAGGCCAUCCCUUCCUAGCUAAUGCGUGGGCAACCUCAUUCAGUAGCGUGUCACUAGUGAUGAGUUCGUCCCAUGAAACUAAUCUAUUAUCUAUCUUGAAAUUGCUAGCUAAGCGCAGAAGACACUCGGACAUACCACUGUGAAAACUACGAUCGAAAGGAUAAUGAGACAUUUUCAGGACACUCCUUACCCACCUUGGUCUGGAGGGGGUUUUAUAGGUGCAGCAGAGCGAGACGGAUAACUAAUGGCAGGAAAACGAGGAGGGAAAGCGAGGCGGGAAAGCGAGGGCGGGAAAGCGAGGCGGGAACAAAAUGGCGGCAAAGCUAUACGCGGGAACAAAAUGACGGGAAAGCGAGGCGGGAAACAAAUGGCGGGAUAAAAUGAACAUACACGUAGCUGAAAUUAAGAUACCCAUUGCGGAAAUGAAGAUACAACUUGCCGAAAUUAAGAUAGACAUUGCUGAAAAUAAGAUACAAUUUGCCGAAAUUAAGAUACAACUUGCAGAAAUUAAGAUACAACUAACACAAAUUAACAUACAAUAAAAUAAAUCUACUGAGUCCAACGUGGAUAUUUUCCUUUUCCAUCACCAGCUUCUUCUGCUGCCUUGGCGGCACGAGCCCUUUAUCUCUUUCUCUCCCUCUCAGCUUCACGGGCCUGUUCCCGCUAUCUGUAAACCUCCUCCAGCCGAAGUUUCUCUUCUUGAUUUUUCCUUAUCAUCUCAUCAAGAAAAGUCCUCUGCUCCACACAGUAAUCUUCCCACUCUUUCUUCUGCUCUGCUUUCUCCUCUGCUUCAGCCUUCUCACGACGCUCUUCCAAGUCCAAGCUAGGCCAUGCACGGCGACCUCUUUCAUGAAUCUCGGUCACCGCCCAGUCCGGCAUUUCCGUGUCAAUCCAACGAUAGUACAUGCAGAGAGGAGGAGGAGACUAAAGGAUGGAUCAGAUUCAGGUAAACAAUAAUAUCAAGUAAACAAUAAUCUGGAUGACUUGAGCAUACCGGAGGCCUGACGUACGCAGAAAUAGAUUCGGGUGGAUCAGAUUCAUAAUUGGCGCACAUGAAAAACUUCAUGCCUAACCAAUCUGAAAAAUCCGUCACCUCCUUCACCUUGCAGACAUCUCCGCACCAACAUCGAACUGCUUCCACCCCCCGAGACAAGCUUGCACUCUGCAUUUUCCUAGGCCUAAUGCUCUGAUCCGAACAAGGCAAACUCAUACUGACUAUGGAGGUGCAGGUGCUUUGAAGUCUGGCUGAUGGUGAAGAGAGUUUCACUCCCUGCCUCCUUUUAUAGGCUCUGCCGGAUGUCUACGCGGGAAAAAACGACGCGAAAACGAGAAACUUCAGCGGGAAACUUAGGCGGGAAAAAAUGCACUGCUCGUCCGUCGUUAUCGCGUGCAUGUGGCGGAAACAAAUACAGCAGACAGCCUCAGUUAGUGCAAUCAGCCUUUAGGCCCUGCUUGGAAUGUCGUUCUAUUUUUACAAGUGCAAUACUUUACAAAGGUCUGUAUUAUUUUUACAAGUGUAGUCCCUCCGUUCCUAAAUAUAAGUCCUUUUAGAUAUAUUAGUAGAUGACUACAUACAAAGCAAAAUGACAGAAUCUACAUUCUAAAAUGAGUCCAUAUACAUCCAUAUGUAGUCUUCUAGUACAAACUCUUAAAAGACUUAUAUUUAGGAAAUCUCCCUCCGUAAAAAAAACUCCCUCCGUUCCUAAAUAUAAGGCAUUUUAAGGAUUGUACUAUAAACUACAUACGGAUGUACAUAGACAUACUUUAGAGUAUAGAUUCACUCAUUUUGCUCCGUAUGUAGUCUCCUAGUGAAAUACCUAAAAGGUCUUAUAUUUUGGAACGGAGGGACUACAUCCAAAGCAGGGCCUAAUACCGCAUGCUUGUGGCGGGAAAAUUUAGAGCGGGAAUUUUUUUAGAGCAACUGCGCUGACUCCGAGACCCAUUCACGCAGGAACCGGGAUUCCCGGCCGGCCGCCUGGGGCCGAGGCGCCAGGGCCCACCUCUCUGUCGCCGUUACGUUGCAGCGGCGCGGGAACGGGAUCUGGCGUCGGCCGCCUGCGCCCCGCCGCCUCAGCCGGUGGCGGCAGGUGGCACGUGUCGCCUGACGCACCUGCCGCCAGGGAGGGGUGGGGUCUUUUUCGUCGAUUGCAGCCACAGGUGGUCCUUUUGGACAAAUGCACUCGGCAAGUGGUCCUUUUGGACAAAAAUUCCCGAUCGGAUGGUCAAUUCAAAAGAAAUAAGAGGACCUACCCGGUGCUAGCACCAUUUCAGAAUGAUCUGCAGACUGCAGUGGUUGCUACCCGUAAGAGCAUCUCCAACAUUUUGUAUGUUUAAUCGUUAUUAUAAGUGUCCACGUCAGCAGCCAACAGCACAUCAUACAAGUUCUUCAAUGAAGUGUAUGUUAACCAUAUGUAAAAUAACUAAGCGGGUCCACUAAAUGUUGAAGAAAUGACCAUGUUUGCCUCGGAGCUUGUGCCUGAACCGUUGCUUCAAGUUCAUACGAUUUCAUUCUCUCUCUUCUUUUAUUAUGUUUCAUGUCAUCAAAAUCAUCCACUCCUAUGUGGCAAUUUUACCAACGGUGAUCAUACGACUAUUGGAGAUGCCCUCAGGGCAUCUUCAGCAUCUUCAAUGGUUGUAUGAUCAUCGUUGGUAAAAUUGUCGCAUAGAUUAUUUUAAUGACAUGGCGCAUAAUAAAAGAAGAGAGAGAAUGGAAUCGUAUGAACUUGAAGCAACGGUUCACGCACAAGCUCCGAGGCAAGCAUGGUUAUUUCUUCCAUGUUUAAUGGACCCGCUUAGUUAUUUUACAUACGAUUCACAUACACUUCAUUAAAGAGCUUGUAUGAUGUGUUGUUGGUUGUUGAUGUAGACACUUAUACCAACGAUUGAACAUACGAACUGUUGAAGAUGCUCUUAAGCAUGCCUUGGUUCAUUUACCAAGACACCGAUGAAAAAUUAAAGCAGCAUAUAUGCACGGAUUCCAGGUAACAUCACGUGCCUGUCCCACAUCUCCAACUUAACCUACGUAAUAAAAAUUCAGUUGCUACCAAGAAAGAGAGUGUCAACUCCUUGCAACUGCUACGGACAACUACUCGUUUCCAACACAUGGUAACAACAAGAGCAUACCAAGCCAUGAGUGUUUUCAGCAGGAAAAACCCAACCCAAACCUGGUUUAGUAUAUUUCGGCUCAAGCUUCCACUCUGAAAUCAGACCCAAUUUCUAGCUAAAGCAACUGAUUAUACACUUUCUCGCAUGAGACGGAGCUAUAAAUUUACCGACUGAUGAUAUGAACCAUCUUGGUGAAUCAAACAGAAACCUGCAGUCUACAGCGAAGAAUGUACUGAGUUUCAAUCAUCCUGACAUUAGAAACGGCUAGCUAAAAAAUAAACGGCCAAGUGUGAACUUGCUUCAAGACAGGGUUGCUACUGCUAUUUUUAAUUUGAUGCAAAUUCAAUAGUGCCAUUGCAAAGCAUGUGAAUCUUGCCUGCAACAAGCACAACUAUAUAAUGUGUGUUUCUCCUGCUGUCUACGCUGACAAAGUGACAAUGUCAACCUUAAAAUCAGGACGCUAUUCAAACAGGUCAAAACCUCGGAACGAGAACUACUGUUCAGAAAAUGAAUAGCCUACUCUAAACAAGCCACAAAUUAUUCGAGUAAUUUUAUCACAACAAGACGCUGAGCACAGACCAAGAAUAUAGCCAUUUCUCAUGUUGGCCAGCACGCAAUAUCAUAUAUGUUUUGUCAUAUAACUCACAAGUCAUAUCAAAGAUAACAGGUCUUUUGUCUCGGAUCUGAUUUAGCAAGAAAUGGCAACGAAAUCAUAGCCAGAUAAUCAAAAGGCUUUGUUUUAGGGAGCUCAAUAAUUUAAGUUAUGUCAUAUCUAUUUGACAAAAAAUACAAUAAAAUAGUGUUCAGUUGGAAGCCAAAAGCCAAACAGGGGCAAUGCAUUUUGCUAAAAUCAAGUCUAGAAAAGGUAAAAUAUUUGUUACCUGCUUCUUGGAGAAGUUAUAGGCUUAUAGCACUUCCUUCAAAUACUAUUUACCUACAGAAGAAAUUGUCAAACUGAUAGGUACUUAGGUGAAAGAAUGUACAUCACACUUAUCAUUUGAUCAAACAUUGCUUCAGCUGCCGCCUCCUAGAGAGCCUCUAUCUUCAGCUUGCUGAAGAAAAGGAAUAAUCAACACUGACAUGUUUUGCAAUUCAUAUAAAACCACAUUCCAGAAUAAGCAACAACGCACAUGUAAUCACUGAGACUGAAUCCUGAAAUAAAAGCAAAAGCGCUAACAAAACAAGAAAUGACAACAACAACAACAACAACAAAGCCUUUAGUCCCAAACAAGUUGGGGUAGGCUAGAGGUGAAACUCAUAAGAUCUCGCGAUCAACUCAUGGUUUUGGCACAUGGAUAUCAAGCUUCCACGCACCCCUGUCCAUGGCUAGUUCUUUGGUGAUGCUCCAAUCCUUCAGAUCUCUCUUUACAGACUCUUCCCAUGUCAAGUUCGGUCUACCAAAACAAGAAAUGACAACUUGGAGAAAUAUUCCAAACAAUAACGAGACACAAGUACAUCUCACCACACCCAAAUGGAAUAUAUUUUUGCGCAUAUGAGCAUCAGGAACCUCGCAUCCUUUUUUGUCCACACAUCCCUAGUUAUUAUUGUUAGAACAACUAGUGUAGAGAGAAACCUUAAGCCUUGAAGUCCAAUCACAUGCUAGCAAGUGCUAGAUCACAACACAAAAAAGAACUACUAUGCAUCACAAUGUCAUUACAGAAGUUUCAGAGAGAUGUAUCAUGUCUGAACAGAAAGUACCGAUAAGAAUUCGAUUAUUUCCCAUGGUGAUAUGAUCUUCAAUGAAUAUCCAUGGUUUAACCAGUAUUACAUGGCACAGCUUACACCUUGAUGAGAAUUGAGAGAUAUAUAGCAAUCAAUGAAAUGAAUGAAUUACUUGAAAGGUCAGUAGCUAUGUUGGACUUGCAAACUAAAUGCUCGGAGCUGACAACUGUUAUAGCUGAGUCAACCAUUCCAACAUCAUGACUGGAUGCUACUUCUUAGAAGCAGCCUUUAUCCGUGAUAUGAGGCUUUCCCCAGCAUCACCCAAGCCAUCCAAUCCCACGAGUUUUGUCCCAAAAUCUCGGUACAGUGUACUCAACCGCUGCUCGUCGCCUUCCAUUGCAGCUAGCUCAGUUACAUUCUUCCGCAUUAUUAGGCCGUACAGGAAAAGUGAACCAGAGCCUAACUUUCUGGCACCAAUUCCAACACGCAGCAAUGAUGCUGAAUCAGGUUCAGAUAUAGAUGGGUCAUGCAGAACUGAGAAGCCACCAAAAGCAACAUCAGGGGUGCGAAAGAGAUCAUCCAAAUCAAUGUUGUCAUCUUUAACAAUAUCUCUGACUUCAUAAAUGAUAUCUAUUUUCUCAGAUGAGUCAACCUUUUUUGCUCUCUUUCUAGCGGCUCUUACAAUAUUGGCAGCCUCUCUGUACCCACUAAGCAGAGCUCCAUGCAUUGUUGCAGGGUACCGCCUAUUUGUUGCCUCCCCAGCGAAGAAGACUCUAUCAGCAACACUCUCAGCCAAAAUAUCAUAAUCAUCACCAGAUGACCCAAUAGCCACAUGGGAAUAUGAUCCAUAUGAAAACCUGUCAGUGCCCCACCGAGUGCAUAUUGCCUGCAGUGGGUUUGGUACCUCGAUCCCCAUGGGUGAAAAGAUUUUUUUAAGUGUGUCUAACACCUUCUCAACAUUUUCCAUUGGUGACUUCUUCUCAAAACUGAUAGCAGAUUCCCCAGCAACAAGGGCAACAAGCAGUGGACCUCCUGAGACUGAAGAAUAGCUAUAGAACAGGAAAAAUUCACCUCGUUGACUAGAGUCCUCAGUCAAAUGCCCAAAUGUAUCAAUCCUGCCAUCCCAGAAGUCAAAAGGGAAUAACAUCACAACCUUAUUAAGAAGCCCAAAACCCAAUCUCUGAAUGGCCUCUCGUUUCUGAGCUGGCAGCUGCGGCACAAAAUCAAUGUCCCCCUUCUUAAGCACACCAAGGGGAACAGUGCAGAGCGCCAUAUCACCACGGAAUGUCUGCUUAUCAGUGUAGACCAACACACCAUCACACCCAUACUGUAUCCUUCGCACAUUCUGUCCAUAGAAUAUCGGGACACCAUCAGCAAGCGCUCGGACAAAUUGGGAAUUGCCACCAGGUAUAAAGCAAUGGUCACCACCCAUUUCGUAUGGAUCAUCCUGGUCCCAGAAGGCCAUGGAGAGAUCAGCAAGAGGAGCGGCAUUGGCAUACUCCAGGUUGGCCAGAUGCCAAUCAAGAAGCAUCCGUUCCUCUGGCUCAGCGGCAACACCAUGCGCUGCCCGGAAUGCCUCGAGUGCCAUGCCAAGUGACACAUCCACACCGUGUGGGACACUAUCUGCGAUAACCUGCCGCAGCUGGCAAACCUUGUCAAGAAGCUGGUUAAAGGCAGCUUCAACACGACCAUCCAUGUCAGGGUCGACUGGGCGGCCAUCCGGAAGAUACAACGGGCACUUGUCCCGCACCUUGUGAAGUGGGAACCCAAGCUGCCGCGCUAUGACACCAAGGGGAUUCCCAUUAAUACCAGUGAGCACACUGCCUCCCAGAUCAGCAGAAGCAGCAAUGUCAGGAUAGUCUGCAGCAGAGGACCUCAUUGUCUUAGUAAACACACGGCCACCUGGGCGGAGUCGGCCUUCGACAAUGGCAACCUUGAAGCCAAGGGACAUAAGGUGGCGUGCGGCGGCGAGGCCAGCAAAGCCAGCACCUACAAUGAGGACAGAAGGGGGAGGAUGGGAGGGAGGGGGGAUUGGGGGUAGGGAGACAAUGGAGGGGGCGAGGCCAAAAUUGAUGUAGGCAUGGUCCGACAGGAAAGAGUGUGCAGCGGCGACGAGGGGCGCGUGCUCGGCGCGAAUGGAUGCGAGCGCGGCGUUGGACGCAACGGGGGAGAGGGGAUUAGAGCGCCAGAGCGCGAGAAUAUGGUUACGUACGACGAGGUAGUUGGCCUGGUCCGUGCCACCUAUAACUGGGAUGACGGCGGCGGCUACCUCGUCCUCGGAGAGGGUGUCCGCGGGGAAUCCCGCCGCGAGCGCGAUGGUGGCCUCGGAAUCCAGCUCCCGCGCCAGGCGGAGGGAGGAGUUGGUAGGCGGGCGCCCGCGGCGGCGCGGGAUGCCGGCGAGAUGCGCCGCGGUGGCCCCCGACGAGGAGGAAGCGCGGAGGACGCGGACGCCGGCCGUGGGGAUCAUGCCGGGGAACUGCUUCUUGCGGCGGCGGCGCUUCCGCGCGACGGUGGAGUCAUCGACGGCCGCGGUGGUGGAGGGGGCGGACGGGGUCGGGGAGGACGUGGGCGCGUCCUCCUCCAUGGGCUCCGCGGACGCCGCGGCGUCUCCCCCGGCCGCGUCGUCCUCCAUGGGCUCCGCGGCGGCGGCCGCCUCGUCCUGCUCCAUUGGGACGAGAGCUAGAUGCCCCGCGGCUUCGGGCGCGUCAGGCGGUGGUUGCGCCUCGUUGGCUUCGUCCAUUGGGGUUUCCGGGGAUGGAUGCGGCGAGCUCGGCGACUGGAUUUGGGAAUUGGGAGGAGGGUUCAGGGGUUGGUUUAGGGCCAGAACUGUGCGGUGGCCAAGAGAGGGUCGGGACUCGGGAGGGAAGAGCCCCAUGGAAUUAUUUUUCCGUAUAACAUGAAUGAAAGCGUACUUUGCUUCUCCGUUACCGUGCAUAGUUGAUGCAAUCCGUUCCCUCUCCCCUCUCCCUCUCACACGCGUGACCAUAGGCGACCCGUGUCCUCACUCACUGUGUCGAUGAGGCCAUGGGUUCUCUCAUCUCCAAGCAUACCCAUAUUUGCUCUCAAUACCCAAAAACUGUUUUUUUGAAUAUUGGAGGCAAAAAACUAGCUCCAAGAACAUACCCAUGAAUGGUCCUCACAAAAUUUUUUUUUGGGUCACUACCCAGAAUUGGCAUAUAUGGGUAUUGUGGGGCAAAUACCCAUCUGACCCAAAAUCAGCGCGGGGAGUACCAACUGCCCGAGCGGAAACUUCCCCGACUCCUCCCUGACCCCCGCCUGCACGACCCCUCCCUGACCCCCACCUCCCUCCUCCGGCCACCGGCGAGCACGGACGCCGCCGCAUCGAGCCGCCCGUCCGCCGCAUCGAGGCCCCGUCGCCCGGCGCGGGGCGGCCGAUUCUCGGCGCCGGCGACUCUCCCUCCGCCUUCCCGACCUCCAGCACGCCUCCUGGACCUCCGCCCCACCUCCAGGACCUCCACCCCGCCUCGGCCGGCAGCGGCGAGCUCACGCGGCGCCAAGCUCGUGCGGCAGCCGACGACCUCACCGCGGCAGCAGGAGGAGCGGCGUGCGGCCGCGUCCGCUUGCCCGAAGUCCUCACCGCCUCCCUCCCCACGUCCCCGACAGCCGCCGUGUCCCCGACGCCCUCGCCGGCGCAAAUCGCCAGAGAUUGAGUAUGAGUUGAAUGGACACAAGUACACGAAGGGAUAUUAUCUUGCAGAUGGGAUUUAUCCACAGUGGGCAACAUUUGUCAAGCCCAUUCCUAACCCUCAAGGUAAGAAACAAUCUCGUUUUCAUAGUGCUCAAGCAACCGCUAGAAAGGAUGUGGAGAGGGCAUUUGGGGUUUUGCAAGCCCAAUUUACUAUUGUUCGUGGACCGGCUAGGUUUUGGGACCAAAAAACCCUAGGGAGGAUCAUGACGGCUUGUGUGAUAUUGCACAAUAUGAUCAUCGAGAACGAGCGUGGUCAAGAUUUUGAUCACCACUACGACUUUAUGGGGCGGGUGGUGAAUCCUCGUAGACGUGCUGACCGCGUGAGUCACUUCCUUCAAGUUCAUCAUGAAAUUAGAGAUGCAGAUACUCAUCGACAACUAAAAGAAGAUCUCAUCGAGGAGUGGUGGAAGUGGAAUGGAGAACAAGAUACUUGAGUUCGUAUUUCGAUUGCUAAUUCGGUUUCGUUUGACAUUUGUGUUUGAUUUGAUGAACAUUGUGUUGUAAUAUGCACUAUUUGUUUGACAAUUUGAGAAUUUUAAUUUAGCACGUUUGAAUUGAUUGUAUUUGUGAUUCGGUUGCAUUUGCACAAAUAGAACUAGAAGCACAAAGAAUGGGCUAUCAAGUUUUUGGGUAUCCAAAUAUGGGUAAGCUUGAAAAGCAGAAUUUUUUUUGGAUACCCAAACCUUCUCUCUCCUCUACCCAUAAUGGUUUUGACUACCCAAAAUAUGGGUAUGCUCUUGGAGAUGCUCUUACGCUCAUUGCGUCCUUGAUAGCAUGGUGGGGAAACCAUGCCUCUUUGUGCUUCACUUGUAUAGUUGGAGUUAGGUUUUGUGUUUUUCGCGACGUGCGACGAAGCCUGAGCAAACUCUAUCGUAACCAGACAUAUUCAUUUUUCCCAUGUAAUUUGGAAGGUACUUUUUGUGCUAUUUAAUAGCUUAGAUGGUAUGUCACUGUCAGAGUCCAUACAACUGCCUAGAUUGUCGGGGUUGUAUCUCUCUCAUUGUCACAACUGUGUUUUGACGCUGUCGCCGUCUAAGACUUCUUUGAUCCCAACUCCAUCUCGACAAUGUCCUAUUGACGAGGUUGAGGGGUACGUGAAAACCCAAUUUUGUUGUUCCUUUGGCAUGACGGAUCUCGUGUUCAUGGGAUGUGUGCAGUUGUCCUCUCGAGCAAUAUUAGAGAGGAGACAAAGAUAUAAGAAUAAGGUAGGGGGUCUAAGGAUGAAGGAUCUGAUGAUCUGCCUCGACAAUGUGUGCCACAUGUGGAUGUAAACCAAUUUAUUUCAUAAAAACCUACAUAUCCAUUUCGAUAUUGCUACUAAUCCAUAAUUGAUUUAAAUGGUUUCAAAAACCUUUCUUAAACUCUUUACCACGGGGAAUUGGGCCAAUCAUGGACCAAAUCAUGUGCAUAUAUGUAAGGGAGCAAAGAGUAGAUAAGGAGAUCAAGUGGAAAGUGCAAGAGAACCAACAAAGUGUAAGGCGGCCAUCCAUAUGUGUUCACACGCUCGUAUGCACGGUCGUAUGAGGUGCCGACGGUGCCGCCUCGUCCAAACCUACAAAUAGCGUUAAAGGGUCAACGCUAGAUGAGAAAUAGAUCAUUCGUCAGACUUCCAUCUUCGCCAUCCACAACAUCCAAAAACCCUAGUCGCUGCCAUUUUCCAUUUCCAUCCCCAUAGCCAUCUCACCACCAUCACCGCAUCAUUCAUCCUAGUUAGCCAUGCCUUUUAAUUGUGUAUCACCAUUGACAACUAUUGUAAGACAUAAUAUCAAUCAAGUAUUCCUCUUAAUGUGUUCUUCAAUGGUUUUUUCUUGCGAUCUAAUCGCAAUGUGUGAGUAAUUUGGCAAGGUUAUGGUUGGAGGGAUCGAUGGAUUUACUUUGAACUAACGUCUGGUAUGUGUGAAAUAAAAUUGCUUUGUAGUUGUCUCUUGUCUUGUUCGCUAUCUGAUUCCCUCUAGGUACCUAGGAUCACGGAUAUCGAGCUACGGAGAGGAUAAGGGAAGAAAGAUCGUGAAACACUUUUGAACACUGGUGGUUGAGAAGUUUAGUAUGGUAACAUGAAUCAUAUCUAUGGGUAUAUAAUAGGUGUAGUCAUUAAAGUCCAAUGCUUUUGUCUGAUCCUAUCUUAAUUAACGAGGCAACCCUACACGAUGGAUAUGGCCUUUGGUUGGACAACUGACUCCCAAUGCAAGACGUGUUUCGGUCAAGACGUAAUUUGGACACAUCCCCCAUUUCGAUACAUUUCAAGCACAUCUUGACGGGUGUCUUCCAAGGCAGAAAUUAAUAUCACCCCAUUCACAACUAUAUGGUUGUAAGAAUAAGUCCUCAUACACAUGUCAAUUUUUAUUUAUAAGUGCUCAUUGUGCAACUCGAUUUUGAUCCGGUCCAAAAAGUGUAAUUUAAUACUAUUGCAUUGUUAGAAACCCUUGUCUUCGAGGUGCACUUCCACUUGUGGUUUCGAUAAAUCAGGGAUGUGGGAAAAAAGCAAGAAUCAUUUGUGCUCCUUCACCAGAUCACUUAAAGGGAUGGAUCAGUGGUUGGUCUAGGAUUCGGGGAGCAUGGGGGUGAUCCUUAACUGGCACACAACAACAACUUUGGCUCCACUCACAUCACUCUUCUUGGGAUCAUGAAGCGCUCAUGGUCGAUGGUGCUCGCUCGUGCUCGACGCUAGCUAGUGGUGAUGACGACAAUUGUAGAAAUAUCCGAGGGUUUCAUUUGAAUAUGUAUUCUGGUGGUUUUCCUUAAAUGGUUGUGGAAAUGUGUCCUCUCCCAGUGUCUCGUGGUUUUGUGUGGAUGUGUUCUAAGUUGACAUUUUUUAAUUGGCACGCGUACAUUUCUCAAAAAGAAAGGUUAAGCUAGUGUGUAACUCAUUCUUACACAUGGCAACUAGACUUGUACUCCAUCCGUCUCAAAAUAAGUGACUCAAAAAUGACUCNNNNNNNNNNNNNNNNNNNNNNNNNNNNNNNNNNNNNNNNNNNNNNNNNNNNNNNNNNNNNNNNNNNNNNNNNNNNNNNNNNNNNNNNNNNNNNNNNNNNNNNNNNNNNNNNNNNNNNNNNNNNNNNNNNNNNNNNNNNNNNNNNNNNNNNNNNNNNNNNNNNNNNNNNNGAGUCAUUUUUGAGUCACGUAUUUUGGGACGAAGGGAGUAGUUGAUAAAUUUCUAUUAAAGAAGUGCCUAAUCAUCAUGCUUGGUUUAGGGUAUCGACGGGAACUCUCUGUAGGGGAAGAUAAAACCCUUAGCCACAAGGAAUCGGUCUUGAUCUUCCCUAAUAAUAAAGCGCGGAGCGCUUCUGCCGUCCAUCAUGGCACUUUUACAAAAAAAACUUCUAUUUUGUUGAAAUCAACCCGCAGUCCCUUCCUAAGUGGAUCUGAGAAAACGCUUCAUUGUUUCAAAAAGCCCCCUACAUUUGUAAGAAUUUCAAUCGCGAUCCUUUAUCUCAUCUUAUCCAGACGCUCCAUCUCCAGCACCGGCGAGGUGACGGGCGACGCGGUGGCAUCGUGGGGCGGCCUUCCGGCGAGGCAGGAACAACCGUAGGUCGGGGAUGCACAGUUCCCUCCAUUUCUCGGCUGAAUUCGGCGACAGCUUGAGGUCCGUCGAGCUGGAGCUCGCGGGGGCCCAGCCGCGCCCGCCCCGUCCAGUGCGCGGCCGUCUCUGCGCUGUUGUCGUCGUCGUCGUCCGCAUCUCCGUCUGCCUCGGCCGUCCCGGCAGAGCGGCUGGAGCCGUGGGUGGAGCAGCGGGAGGGCGGCUACUGGGUGCUCACGGAGAAGUACCGCACCAGCCUGAACCCGCAGGAGAUUCACCAGCGCCAUGUCUCGCCGCGACGCACCGUCCUGCCGAAACGCGUUGCCGGCGGUCUCAUGGUCGUCGAGCAGGUGCAAGCACAACUCCAGGUUAUGAGACCCCACCCAGCGGGAGAGUCCUUGAGGUGCGGCGACUUGGGGACAUUCAGCACGAGUUCGUGGCCGACGUGCACGUACGCGGACGCCUGUCGGAGGCCGGCCAGCGCCCACAGGCCGCCCACCACUCCGGCGACGGAGGUCUCGAGCGUCGUCCGGGGGAGGAGCGGCACGAGGACACCGACGUACUUGUCUUAUCUCAUUUUUCUGCAGUUGGCUUGGUUAAUGUGUGCUUCGUGGUAAAGAUGACAGAUAAUGGUAAAGAAAAGUCAGGCUCAGGAGCAGCAUAUACAAUCAAUCUAGAGAUCUUCAGUAAGCGGCUUAAGGUGUUUUAUGACCAUUGGAAUCGAAACAAGUCUGAUCUUUGGGCUUCUUCUGAUGCCAUUGCAAUUGCUACCCCGCCUCCUUGUGAGGAUCUCCAUUAUUUGAAAUCCACUGCUCUGGAUGUUUGGUUACUUGGAUAUGAAUUUCUAGAAACCAUAAUUGUCUUUAUGCAGAAGCAGAUACAUUUCUUAUGCAGCCAGAGGAAAGCAAAUCUCAUUGGAAACCUCAAGGAUGCUGCAAGUGAGGCUGUUGGUUCUGAUAUUGUCUUGCAUGUGAAGAGCAAGAAUGGGGAUGGCAUUGACCUGAUGGAUGAAAUACUGUAUGUUGUUUCUGCUCAGUCGAAAUCUAACACUCCAGUUGUUGGUCACAUUGCAAAAGAGGCACGGUAAGCUCCUUGAAACAUGAGCCAAUGAUCUGUCUUUUGGAAGCAUCCAUGAGAAAAAAUUGCAUAUACCUUGGUGAAAGAUUUGGUAAACUGUGACCAUGCCCAGCCUCGACAGUGGCUAUCGAUAGAGAAAAGAGAUUCUCGUUUGGAUAACCCCUCAACCUCCUUUGCCCUAAGUCUGCAUAUGCAUCAUUUUCGUUCCAUGUGUUGUUCCCGGGUGCUCCUGUUGCUGGUUUGUUGUCCUCGAUCAGUGCUUUUAUGUGUUUGUGCUGCUUACUAUGUCCAAACUCCAAACCCCCCUGUUACUGCUGCUUGGGCUAAGCCUGUGGCCCCUGGAGAUGAUGUCUGCAUACUGCAUAUCAAGCUUUCUAGGGUGGCAAAGGUUUUGCGCUCUUGGAGUCGUAUAUGAAAACCAGGUUACAACUUGCUGCUCUCCAAAUUGGCUUUAGCAGGUUAUUCUGGGCCUGGACCAUGGCACCAUGCUCAAGAUCUCCGCGAUCUCAUGUUGUCUAACAUUCCUCUCAAACAGUUCCUGAGGUUUAAGAUCCUUGCACUGGCUGCCAUCGCAAGAUCCAAAAUUAGACAGUGUUCAAGAAUUUAAUGGCUCAAGACAGGAGAUGCCAACUCAAAACUCUUCCACUUUAAAGCCAAUGGCCUAUGGUCUUGAGGGAGAAGGUGACAUCUUCUUAAUUCUGCACGAGUCAGAUGAAGCGUGUAGGUAAAGAAUUUCAGGCAAGGUUCUUUGAAAUCAGGAAUGCUCAAUGCACUACUAUAAAGGUUAAUUUAUAUAUCUCUUGGUUUCUUCAUAUUUUCUUCAUGGAUGGUAAUAUGGGAAAGCAAGUAUUGAAGCUGCACUUUUUUUAAAUCUCUGAGUUUUCUCUUGGAUUAUAAUAUUAUGGGUUAACUUAUUAUAACAGAAAGUAUCCUAGCAAACCAAACAAUGCAAACUUUUUUUAGCCAUUUUACAAAGAUGGCAAGGCCGACAACAUAAUUCUUCAUGUUGAGAAUUGUUAAUGUGGGUCAUAAAUCAAACAAUUACUCGUGUUAUAGGCUACGGGAUGUGAUGCUCUUUUUUUCUCCCGGUGCAACGCACGAGCAUUUUUACUAGUAGAAGAAAAAGAAGGUGACCUAGCAUGGGGUUCCCUCACCUCCAUUGGCUACCCCGAUGGUGGCAAUAUGGAACGGAACUCUGCGACCUUGUUCCACAUGUGUCAAAUAGUCUAGGGUUCUUAUUUAAAUGAUUUUUUUGUCCAUGGAUUUAGCUCUAGCGGUCAUAAAUAAGUUACCACUCGAUGGGGGUUGUCUCCCACCGGGUAGCCCCAUGAUGACCUAAAACCCAACAAAAGUCGAUGGCGGCCCUCUUAGGGAAUGAAGCAUGGAAAAUAAAAAAAAUCUACGAACACCCAAUAUCUAUUUAUGGAGAUGCAUAUCAAUGAAAGGGAUAGUGUGUCUACGUACCCUUGUAGACUGUUAAGCUAAAGCGUAUAUAACGCGGUUGAUGUAGUCGUACUCUUCGCAGUCCAAUCACGAUCUGAUCAGAUUUAGCACCGAACGAACGCACCUUCAUGUUCAGCACACGUGCGGCUCCAUGACGUCUCCGCCUCCUUGAUCGAGCAAGAGAAGGCUGAGUAGUAGAUGGGAUCGCUAGCAACUCGAUGGCAUGUCGGCGAUGGUGGUGGUGCUAUCCGUGCAGGGUUUUGUCGAGCACUGCCAAGAUCAUGAACGGAGGAGAAAACAGAGUAGGGAAAAAGGGAGGGUUGUGCCAGAACUUGGGGUGCGAUCGCCCUCCCUCUCCCACACUAUAUAUAGGGGCAAGGGGGGAGGGGCGCCAGCGCUAGCCCCUCUUCCAAGGGAGGGGCUGCCUGGGGGGAGCCUUGGGCCCCAAGGCAAGGGGCGCCCCCUUUACGAUUUCCUUCCCACCCUAGGUGCAUGGGCCUUGGGGAGGGAGUGGAUCCCAGCCCGCAGAGGCUCAUGCGCCCCCUCCUUAGCCCAUGUGUACCUCGGGGCAGGUGGGACCCUCUUGAUGGACCCUCGGUGACCCCUCGGCACUCCCGGUACAUUAUAAAAAAAACCAAAAUCUUUCCGAAACCCGAAUAUCACUUUUCCAUAUACAAAUCUUUACCUCCGGACAAUUCCGGAGCUCCUCGUCACGUACGGGAUCUCAUCCUGGACUCCGAACAACAUUUAGUCACCAACACACAUAUCCCAAUACUACUCUAGCAUCACCGAACACUACUACACGAAAGUCCUAAGACGACACAUCAAUAAGACACCCUUCGACCAGACUAUGUGCAAUGCAUGAAUCACAAACUGUAUAGUUCUAGUUCCCUCGCCAAUAACAUGAACUAUGUGCGAUGAUGGAUCCAUCACAUACGAUUGAGAAAAGACUUAAGUGUGUGAUAUGUGUCAUACAGUUGUUACAUGCAAACUGUUUGUGAUUAGCUAAAAUAACACAAACGACUAUAGAUUUAGUGUGUGCGAUAGAGGGCACACAAUUCACUAUGAAAAAUUGUGUGCGAUGAUACAACAAAACAUAAACUAUAUGGCAUAACAAGAUGUGUGCGAUAGACAACAAACAGGUGAGUAAUCAAAACAUGUGCAAACCCAAAAAUAACAUAAAAAAUUGUUGCUAAUAACUUGUGUGUGUUGUGGGAAAACACUUGCUAGUAUAUAAUUAUGAGUGAUUGAUGAAAUCAUCACCGACGUGUUUCACGAUUUAGUGUGUGUGUACUAUGAUUUGCUCAGUCUACACAACAUAUAUGUUGUCUCUAAAAAACAACAACAUAUAUACUUACAAGAACAAGAUUGCAUAACCAAAAAAGAACACAAAGCCAUUUCAAAUAUUGUAUCAUUAAUACUAGAAAAAUUACAUGGUUCAAAAUCCAGCAUUACAAGGCCCAAAUUCAAAGAUUACAAGGUUCAAAUUGAUACUAGAAAUCAAAUGCACGCGUCCCGCUCAGCCUGUUAUCCAAGCAUUUCUUCCUCCUCUGUCCCGUCUUGUCACCGUGUUGUUGUUCGAGGAUUCUACUACACACUUUGGCAACGCACAUGCAUUUAUUUUGGCCACGUGUCAGCUCAAAGAGGUGUCGGUGAGCCCGUUCCCACGCACAUCCGUGCAAGCUUCGCGUCCGUCUCGUCCCCCCCUAAAAAAAUCCUUACCGGGCUUCUUUCCUAAGUUUCCAUUGAUGGUGUUUCCCCAGCAACCACCGUUUGCCACCACUUCCCCAUCGAUUUACCUUCACAAUUGAAUGAGCAUAAGAGCUGGCGCACGACACACACGGAUGCACACCUAGUGCAACCUAUCCCAUCUACCAAGCAUGCGAAUGAGAUGAAGCACCGCCUCUACAAUCAACCUUCUCCACGAAAAAAAGAUCCGACGUAAUGGGCGUCAAGGCCAAGGGCGUCCUCGACAACGCGCCGGACAAGGUUGUGUUGCAUGUCAUCACGAGGGUUGAGAAGACCCUUAGCGUAGGAUGUGGCAGCACUGCCGAGCAACAUAGCCGCCUCACGCUAAGAGGCUGCAACGUGCCACACAAGAAGAUCAUUGGUGGUGCCCAUAGAGCAAAACAUGCACGUCCGCCCCCGAGAGGGCAAGGCGUGUUGCAGAACAAGACAGAUGGAGGGCCGGUGAGCGAGAGGUGUGGCGCGCGGUAAAGCAAGAGAGGUUCCUCUCACCCGACAUGACAUCGCAUCUAUGUCCACGACAAGUGGGUAGCCCAAUUUCUUGCCAGGAAUGGACAACGGCCGUCUGCAUCGUAUUUGGACCAGAACCUGACUGCAUCGUACUUGCACGGGACACCGUUCAUGACGUUCGCAUGGGUCAUGCUAUUCGCCUUGUCCGUGACCCCCUCGAUGCCAAUGGGUUGGUUGGUAGGCUUGAGCGCCUCCUUUGCCCAGGUGUCCAUCGCAGAGUAGUAGAAGAAAACGGCAGUCACAUCCUUGAGAUGGUAAUCUUUGACAAAAUAGACAACUUGGAGCUUGAGAUCGCCCUCCAGGUGUACCGCGAGCGUGUCAACCGCAUGGGCGAAUGCCUGAACGAGUUCAUGCAAAGCCAAGAUCUUCCGAAGGUUAGAGUGGUAGGCAUGGGAGCGUUUUAUUUUGUUGAAUCAUUUUAAUACCGAUCGUAAUGUCUGCACAACAACCAUAAUAUUGGUAUAUUUCAAUGUGUGAAUGAUUUAUGUUCUGUUGUUACGUUUCAAUGUGUUUCAAUGUGUCUAACAGCUAGAGCAAGAAAUGAGUACGAAAACAUAUAGAAAUGUGAAUAUAUAUAUAUAUUAAUUGUUCAAUAGCUCACUGCAUACAUCAAACAUAUAUCAUCACAUAUACAUGAUGAUAGUAUUUAACUAAUACGUGCAAUGAAUUGAUACGUCUUCAUCGUAUCUACUUCUUCUAAUGCUUUUGCUCUUUUUUGGACUCUAAUUUGCAUGAUUUGAAUGAAACUAACCCAGACUAACGUUGUUUUCAACAGAACUACCAUGGUAUAGUUUUUGUGCAGAAAUAAAAGUUCUUGGAAUGGAAAAAAACUUUUUAGAGGUUGUUUUUGAAAUAAAUGAAAAAUACUGGAAUCAAGACCCACCACAAGGGAGGACACAUGCGCCCACUAGACAUCACGUCGUGCUAGGCCCCUCUGGCGCGGCCUCGUGUCUAAUGGGGCUCGUCUAGUGGGGCCCACGUGGCUCGGCUGACCCUAAUUCCAAUGCUACAAAAUCCUAUUUUCGGAGAAAAAAGAAGAGAGGAAGUUUCAUCGCGUAUUACGAUACGGAGCCGCUGCCACCUCCUGUUGUGCAUCGGGGGCCUAAUCUAGAGUCCGUUUAGGGCUUCAGAGAGGGGAAUCUUCGGUCUUCGUCAUCACCAACCCUCCUCCAUCGCCAACUCCAUAAUGCUCUCCAUCGGGAGUGAGUAAUCCCUUCGUUGGCUUGCUGGUCGGUGAUGAGAUGGAUGAGAUUCAUCAUGUAAUCGAGUUAGUUUUGUUAGGGCUUGAUCCCUAAUAUCCACUAUGUUCGGAGAUAGAUGUUGUUAUACUUUGCUAUGCUUAAUGCUUGUCACUAGGGCCCGAGUGUCAUGAUUUCAAAACUGAACCGUUUAUGUUUUCACCAUCAUAUCUAUGUUCCUAACCCGAUCUCGCAAGUUAUGUGCACCUACUACGUGUUAGGAUCCGCAUACCCAAACUGACAAUAAUUGGGAUUCUUUCCGGUGAUUACCGUAGUAUGAGGAGUUGAUGUAUUCACUAUGUGUUAAUGCUUUGCUCUGGUUCUCUGUUAAAAGGAGGCCUUAAUAUCCCUUAGUUUCCUUAUGGACCCCACUUCCACGGGAGGGUAGAACAAAAGAUGUCAUGCAAGUUCUUUUUUUGUAAGCACGUAUAACGAUUUAUGGAAUACAUGCCUACAUUAUAUCGAUGAACGGGAGCUAGUUAUGUGUGGCCCUAUAUUGUGACUAUUAUAUGAUGAAUAUUAUCCAGCAAUAUCACCGAUCCAAUGCCUACGAGUUUUCCAUAUAUUGUGCUUGCUAAGUUACUACUGUUGUUACUGCUGUUACAACUCCUACAACACUGCCAUCACUGUUACCGUUACUACUGCUACUAUUACCACUGCUAUCAAAAUUAUCAUAUGAAAGCACAUAUGCUCCCUUGGUGGUUUUGAUAAGUCAUGACAACAUACAUUGUAUUUUGGACUAACACUUUUACCCAGUAUAUUUCAGGUAUAGUCCAGAGAGAGCAUUGGCCAAAGGAUUGUGAGGAGAAGCCCCUUGAUAAAGGAAUAGGAUUGGCUCAAGCUUCAAGCAAGAAGACUCUACAUUUUACAUUUAUGAGAAAUCACUUUUGAGUCCAUAGGAAAGCCAAUACUAUUAAAAGGGGGUGAGGUAUUAUGAUGAAUUGGUUGCUCAAGUGCUUAGAGAUAGCCACCAAAAAUAUUCACUUAUUCUCCCACAAAAUAUCUGUGACGACUGCCAAACCAGCAAAAUCGGUGCCACCAACUUUUUCCACUCGGCCCUACGGAUUUUCCAUCACAGAUCCUUUGCCAAAGCCCAACCCUAUCAUCUCAGUACCACCAACAUUAAUAUCGGCGCCAUCGAGAUCAGUGACCAACUUUAUCUUGAGCAAAUUUAAAGAAUCGAAAUUUCCGAGAUUGGAAUCGGUCUCAUAAUAUUUGGAAACCGCUCUAGGUCAUUAUAUUGGUACCACCGAGGUUCAUAUAUCGGUCUCACCGAGAAUUCAAAAGUCGCCACAUUUAGUGCAACUCGGUACCACCGAGAUUCAUUUCGGUGUCACCGAGUUGGGCAAUAAUGUUAUAAUGGGGGGAUGCCUAUAUAUACCCCUCCACCUCCUCUCAUUCGUAGAGGAAGCACUAAGAACACAGUUACACUUGCCAGAUCCAUUUUCCUGAGAGAGAGCCACCUACUCAUGUGUUGAGAUCAAGAGAUUCCAAUACAACCAUUUGAAACUUGAUAUGUAGCCUCCCCAAGUUGCUUUCCACAAAAUCAAUCUCUCCUACCCAUGCCAAAUAUGUGAGAGAGUGAUUGAGUGUUGAGGAGACUAUAUUUUGAAGCACAAAUGAAGGAGAUCAUCGUUCUACCGCAUCUAUUACCUUUUGGAGGGUGUGCCUACUAGAUUGGUUAGGUGUCGCUUGGGAGCCUCUUACUUCAUGUUGUGGAGUUGAACCAAGAAGUUUGUAAGGGCAAGGAGAUCGCCUACUUCGUGAAGAUCUACCGCGAGUGAGGCUAGUCCUAUGUGGAUGUAAGCCAUGGUGGAAUAGACAAGGUCGCUUCUUCGUGGACCCCUUAUGGGUGGAGCCCUUCGUGGACUCCUGCAGUCGUUACCCUUCGUGGGUUGAAGUCUUCACUAACAUGGACGUACGAUAGCACCACGUAUCGGAACCACGCCAAAAAUUGACGUGUGAAUGUUUGCAUUUGAUCUUCCUAAACUAUAUUCCUUACUUACAUGUGCAAAGUUUUACUUUCGCUACCAUAUUUGUUGACUAACAUGUGUAUGGUGCACUAGACUUGUUAGAAUCGCUAAAAUCUGUCAACCAUUAAAAUUUGGAAAAGGCUAGGAUAUUAAUUUAUGCAAGUAGUCUAUUCACCCCCCUCUAGACACCCCUUCUAUCGACCCAACAAUUGGUAUCUGCUACGGCGAUAUAAAUCUUCUGUCGUCUCUUGAGCUUGCGUUGGUUUUUCCCUUGAAGAGGAAAGGGCGAUGCAACACAGGAGCAGUAAGUAUUUCCCUCAGUUUGAGAACCAAGGUAUCAAUCUAGUAGGAGAAUCGCGUCAAGUCCAGAGUACCUGCACAAACACAAAAGAGCUUGCACCCAACGCUAUAAAGGGGUUGUCAAUCCCUUCAAGAUUGAUUGCAAAGUGAGAACUGAAGGCAGAAAGUGUAACAAAGUAAAAGUGUAAGGAUGAAAAUAUGGUGUGAAGUAGACCUGGGGGCCAUAGUGUUCACUAGAGGCUUUUUUCAAAAUAGCAAAUAUUACAGUGGGUGAACAAAUUACUAUCGAGCAAUUGAUAGAACCGCGUAAAGUCAUGACGAUAUCUAAGGCAAUGAUCAUACAUAUAGGCAUCACGUCCGAGACAAGUAGACCGAUACUUUCUCCAUCUACUACUAUUACUCCACACAUCGACCGCUAUCCAACAUGCAUCUAGUGUAUUGAGUUCAUGACGAACAGAGUAACGCCUUAAGCAAGAUGACAUGAUGUAGAGAGGAUAAACUCAAAACAAUGAUGUAAACCCCAUCUUUUCACUCUUGAUGGCAACAACACGAUGCGUGCCUCGCUACCCCUUCUAUUACUAGGUGAGGUCACCGCACGGUAUGAACCCAAAACCAAGCACUUCUCCCAUUGCAAGAAUCAUAAUCAAGUUGGCCAAACAAAACCCACAACUCGAAGAGAAUUACAAGGAUAUGAAAUCAUGCAUAAGAGAUAUUAGAAGAAACUCAAAUAAGAUUCAUAAAUAAUCUGAUCAUAAAUCCACAAUUCAUCGGAUCUCGACAAACACACCGCAAAGAAGAUUACAUCGGAUAGAUCUCCAUGAAGAUCAUGGAUAACUUUGUAUUGAAGAUCCAAGAGAGAGAAGAAGCCAUCUAGCUACUAGCUAUGGACCCGUAGGUCUAUGGUGAACUAUUCACGCAUCAUCGGAGAGGUCAUGGUGUUGAUGAAGAAACCCUCCGUAUCCGAAUCCCCCCUCCGGUAGGGCACCAGAACGUGCCCCAGAUGGGAUCUUGCGGAGACAAAAGCUUGCGGCGGCGGAAAAGUAUUUUCGUGGAUCUUCUGAUUUUUUCUGGGAUUUUAGGGAAUAUAUAGGCGAAAGAUCUAGGGUAGAGGAGGCCCAGGGAGCCCACAAGCUUGGGAGGCGCGCCCCCUGGCCGCGGCUAGGGGGCUUGUGGGGUCCCUGAUGACCCUUUGCCUUGGUUCUCAAGUAUCCUGAUCGUCUUCUGUUUCGGAAAAAAAUAUUUUUGGAAGAUUCUUUCCGUUUGGACUCCGUUUAAAAUCCUCCUCUGAAAAGGGUCAAAAACACGGAAUAAACAGGAACUGGCACUUGGCACUGAGUUAAUAAGUUAGUCCCAAAAAAGAUAUAAAAGGCAUACAAAACAUCCAAAGUUUGACAAGAUAAUAGCAUGAAACCAUCAAAAAUUAUAGAUACGUUGGAGACGUAUCAAGCAUCCCCAAGCUUAACUCCUGCUCGUCCUCGAGUAGGGAAGUGAUAAAGACUGAUUUUUUGAUGUGGAAUGCUACCUAGCAUAGUUGUCAUUUGUAACUUCUUUCAUGUGACACGAAUGUUCAGAUCCGUAAGAUUCAAAACAAUAGUUUGCUAUUGACAUGAAAACAAUAAUACUUCAAGCAAACUAGCAAGGUAAUCAUGAACUUUCGAAAUAACAAGGCCAAAGAAAGUUAUCCCUACAAAAUCAUAUAGUCUGGCUAUGCGCCAUCAUCCCCACACAACUAAUGUAAAUCAUGCACAACCCCGGUAUUGGCCAAGUAAUUGUUUUCGCACUCUUAUUUCUCAAACCUUUUACAACUAUCACGCAAUACAUGAGCGUGAGCCAUGAAUAUAGCACUAUACGUGGAAUAGAGUGUGGUGGUGGUUGUAAGACAAAAAGGAGGAGAUGGUCACAUUGACUCGACGUAUCAAAUGGUUAUGGAGAUGCCCAUUAAUAGAUAUCAAUGUGAAUGAGUAGGGAUUGCCAUACAAAGGAUGCACUAGAGCUAUAAGUAUGUGAAAGCUCAAAAGGAGAACUAGUGGGUGUGCAUCCAACUUGCUUGCUCAUGAAGACAUAGGGCAAUUUGAGGAAACCCAUCAUUGGAAUAUACAAGCCAAGUUAUAUAAUAAAGAUUCCCACUAGUAUGUGGUGGUGAAAAAGCAAGGAGCUCUCAAUCAUGAAGAACAUGGCGCUUUUAUGAAGCACAAGUGUGGAAAAAGAUAGUAGCAUUGUCCCUUCUCUCUUUUUCUCUCUUUUUUUGUUUGGGCUCUUUGGCCUCUUUUCAAUUUUUUUGGUGGGCAUCUUUGGCCUCUUUUUUUAAAUUUCCUCGCAUGGGACAAUGCUCUAAUAAUGACGAUCAUCACACUUUUAUUUACUCACAACUCAAAGCUUAGAACGAUGAUGACUCUAUAGGAAAUGCCUCCGGCAGUGUACCGGGAUGUGCAACUAUCUAGCUUGGCGUAUGACAUUGAAACAUCUCGCUAGCUAUCUUACGAUCAUGCAAUGGCAAUAUGAGAGUGACGACACAAGUCAUGAGACAGAACGGUGGGAGUUGCAUGCUAAUAUAUCUCGGAAUGGCUAUUAGAAUGCCAUAGUAGGUAGGUAUGGUGGCUGUUUUGAGGAAGGCAUAUGGUGGGUUUGUGCAUCGGCGAAAAUUGCGUGGUACUAGAGAGGCUAGCAAUGGUGGAAGGUGAAAGUGCAUCUAUACCAUGGACUCACAUUAGUCAUGAAGAACUCACAUACUUGUUGCGGAAGUUUUUAUUAGUAAUCGAAACAAAGUGCUAAACGCAUACUCCUAGGGGAAGGGUUGGUAGGUGUUAACCAUCGCGCGAUCCCGACCUCAACACAAUGGAUAACAAUCAAUAGAUCAAUUAUGCUCCGACUUCCUAACAUAGCGGUUCACCAUACGUGCAUGUUACGAGAAUCACUAACUUCAACACAAGUAUUUCUUGAUUCACAACACCCUACUAACAUAACUCUUAAUAUUACCAACUCCACGUCUCAAAACUAAUUGAGAGGAAUCAAAACUUCUCUUUCUACUCAAUGCACAUGAAGAUGGAGGUUUUUCUAUCCUCUUUGGGUACCUAUCACCUUUGGGACUACUUUCACAGCACAAGCCAACUACCAAGUCAUGCACCGCCGUGCUCUAAAAGAUAUAAGUGAAGCACAUAGAGCAAAAUGGUCUAGCUCAAAAGGUAUAUGUGAAGCACGAUGAGCACUCUAGCAAAAUCACGAUGAGUGCGUGAUACGUCUCCAACGUAUCUAUAAUUUUUUAUGGUUUCAUGCUAUUAUCUUGUCAAACUUUGGAUGUUUUGCAUGCCUUUUAUAUAUUUUCUGGGACUAACUUAUUAACUCAGUGCCAAGUGCCAGUUCCUGUUUUUUCCAUGUUUUUGACCCCUUUCAGAGGAGAUUUUGAAACAGAGUCCAAACGGAAGAAAAUUCCCGAAAAGAUUUUUUCUUAACAGAAGAAGAUCGGGAAGCUUGGGAGCCAAGGCAGGGGAGCCUCAGGGGGCCCACAAGCCCCCACCCCGCGGCCAGGGGGUAGGUCGCGACCCACAGGCUUGUGGGCCCCCUGGGCGCCCUCUCACAAAGGGGUUGCGCCUAUAUAUUCCCUAAAAAUCCCAAAAAAAUCAGGAAAAGCCAGGGCGCCCCCUGGCUUGUGGGCUCCGUGAGGCUCCUUUGCCCUAGGUUUUGCGCCUAUGUAUUCCCUAAACUUGCAUAAAAAUCAGGAGAUCAUCGAAAGUACUUUUCCGCCGCCGCGAGCUUCUGUCUCCGCAAGAUCCCAUCUGGGGCACGUUCUGGUGCCCUACCGGAGGGGGAUUCAGACACGGAGGGCUUCUUCAUCAACACCAUGACCUCUCCGAUGAUGCGUGAGUAGUUCACCAUAGACCUACGGGUCCAUAGCUAGUAGCUAGAUGGCUUAUUCUCUCUCUUGGAUCCUCAAUACAAAGUUCUCCAUGAUCUUCAUGGAGAUCUAUCCGAUGUAAUCUUCUUUUGCGGUGUGUUUGUCGAGAUCCGAUGAAUUGUGGAUUUAUGAUCAGAUUAUCUAUGAAUCUUAUUUGAGUUUCUUCUGAUCUCUCUUAUGCAUGAUUUGAUAUCCUUGUAAUUCUCUUCGAGUUGUGGAUUUUGUUUGGCCAACUAGAUCUAUGAUUCUUGCAAUGGGAGAAGUGCUUGGUUUUGGAUUCAUACCGUGCGGUGACAUCCACCCAGUGACAGAAGGGGUAGCGAGGCAUGCAUCGUGUUGUUGCCAUCAAGGGUAAAAAGAUGGGGUUUUCAUCAUUGGUUUGAGAUUAUCCCUCUACAUCAUGUCAUCUUGCUUAAGGCGUUACUCUGUUCGUCAUGAACUCAAUACACUAGAUGCAUGCUGGAUAGCAGUUGAUGUGUGGAGUAAUAGUAGUUGAUGCAGAAAGUAUGGGUCUACUUCUCUCGGACGUGAUGCCUAUAUGUAUGAUCAUUGCCUUAGAUAUCGUCAUGACUAUGCGCGGUUCUAUCAAUUGCUCGACAAUAAUUUGUUCACCCACCGUAAUACUUGCUAUUUUGAGAGAAGGCUCUAGUGAACACUAUGGCCCCCGGGUCUACUCCACACCAUAUUUUCAGCCUUACACUUUUUACUUCGUUGCACUUUCCGCCUUCAGAUAUCACUUUGCAAACAAUCUUGAAGGGAUUGACAACCCCUUUGAAGCGUUGGGUGCAAGCUUGUUUGUGUUUGCGCAGGUACUCUCGACUUGACGAGACCCUCCUUCUGGAUCGAUACCUUGGUUCUCAAACUGAGGGAAAUACUUACUGCUACUGUGCUGCAUCACCCUUUCCUCUUCAAGGGAAAAACCGACGCAAACAAGAGAAGUAACAAGAAGAAUUCCUAGCGCCAAGGAAGGACUUUUGUUGCCGUAGCAGAAGAAUUUUUGGCGCCGUUGCCGGGGAGCAAGAUCAAGUCAAGAACUCAUCCAAGUAGGUGUCGCAAACUCAUCUCUUGCAUUUACUUUGUUUGCCAUUUGCCUCUCGUUUUCCUCUCCCCCACUUCACCAAUUUGCCUUUUUCGUUCGCCAUUUUUGUUCGCCCUUUUUCUCGCCUGCUCUUUGUUUGCUUGUGUGCUUGCUUGCUUGCUGAAGUCACCAUUAAUUAAAACACCAAACUUUGUGACUUCUCGAAUACUAAUAAUAAUGAUUUUAUUAGUACUCCGAUUGCUCCCGCCACUAGUGCGGAGUCAUACGAAACUAAUGCCGCUUUGCUGAAUCUUGUUAUGAAAGAGCAAUUCUCCGGCCUUCCUAGUGAAUAUGCCGCAUCCCAUCUCAAUACCUUCAUUGAACUUUGCAACAUGCAAAAGAAGAAAGAUGUGGAUAAUGAUGUGAUUAAAUUGAAGCUUUUUCCUUUCUCGUUGCGAGAUCGCGCAAAAACUUGGUUUUCUUUUUUGCCCAAAAAUAGUAUCGAUUCUUGGGAUAAGUGCAAAGAUGCUUAUAUAUCCAAGUAUUUUCCACCAGCUAAGAUUAUCUCUCUCCAUAAUGAGAUCAUGAAUUUCAAGCAACUUGACAAUGAACAUGUUGCACAAUCUUGGGAGAGAAUGAAAUUAAUGAUUAGAAAUUGUUCCGCUCAUGGCUUGAGUCUUUGGAUGAUUAUUCAAAUCUUUUACGCUGGCUUGAAUUCCGCUUCUAGAAAUAUCUUGGACUCCGCCUCAGGUGGAACGUUCAUGGAAAUCACGUUAGGGGAAGCCACAAAGCUCUUAGACAACAUCAUGACGAACUACUCUCAGUGGCACACUGAAAGGUCACCUACUAGUAAGAAGAUACCCCUAUCGAAGAAAUUAACUCGUUGAGUGCUAAGAUGGACGAGUUAAUGAAUUUGGUUGCUAGUAGAAGUGCUCCUUUGGAUCCUAAUGAUAUGCCCUUGUCUUCUUUGAUUGAGAGUAGCAACGCUAGCUUGGACGUUAAUUUUGUUGGUAGGAAUAACUUUGGCAACAACAAUGCUUUUAGAAGAAACUAUGUUCCUAUGCCUUUUCCUAGUAACUCCUCUAAUAAUUUUGGCAACUCCUACAACAAUAUUAAUGGAAAUUACAAUAAAUUACCCUUUGAUCUAGAGAGUAAUAUCAAAGAGUUCAUCAACUCUCAAAAGAUUUUCAAUGCUUUGAUAGAAUUGACGAUUUGGCUAAGAGCGUUGAUAGAAUUUCUAGUGAUGUUGAUGCUUUGAAAGUUAGAUGUGAUCCUCCCAAAAUCAACAUGGAUGAAACUUUGAAAGCUAUGCGUGUUUCAAUGAUUGAGAGCCAAGAAAGAACCGCCCAAAUUCGUGCUAGACAUGAAUGGCUUAAAAAGGCGUGUUCUCGUGAUGAGAAUCACGAAGAUCUUAAAGUGCUUGGUGUGACUCCCAUUGAAUAUUUGUUUUCUUGUGUCAAACCUAAUGCUUAUGGGGCUGGAUAUGAAUCCACUUUGGUUGAAAAGUACCCCAAUGAUUCGGAGUCCAUCUAUCUUGAUGCUAAAAGCAUUGAAAGUGGAGUAGGAGACGUUAAAACGUUGAGUAGUAAUGAAAUUACUACCGUGGAUUUCAAGGAAUUCAAUUAUGAUAGUUGCUCCUUGAUUGAAUGCAUUUCCUUGAUGCAAUCCAUGUUAAACUCUCCACACGCUUAUAGCCAAAACAAGGCCUUUACCGAUCAUAUCGUCGAAGCUAUGAUAAAAUCUCUUGAAGACAAACUUGAAUUGGAAGUCUCUAUCCCUAGAAAGCUUCAUGAUGAGUGGGAACCUACCAUCAAAAUCAAAAUAAAAAACUAUGAGUUUAAUGCUUUGUGUGAUUUGGGUGCUAGUGUUUCUGCGAUUCCAAAGUCUUUAUGUGAUGUUCUGGGUUUUAAUGAGAUUGAAGAGUGUUCUCUUAAUUUGCAUCUUGCUGAUUCUACUAUCAAAAAACCCAUGGGAAGGAUCAAUGAUGUUAUUAUUAUUGCAAAAUAAACUAUGUACCCAUGGAUUUCAUUGUGCUUGACAUUGAUUGCAAUCCUACAUGCCCUAUUAUUCUUUGUAGACCUUUCCUAAGGACUAUCAGUGCUAUCAUCGAUAUGAAGGAAGGGAAUAUUAGAUUUAAUUUUCCUUUAAGGAAGGGCAUGGAACAGUUUCCUAGAAAGAAAAUAAGAUUGCCUUAUGAAUCCAUGAUGAGGGCCACUUAUGGUUUGAGCACCAAAGACGACGAUACGUGAUUCUAUCGCUUUUGUGCCUAGCUAAGGGCGUUAAACAAUAGCGCUUGUUGGGAGGCAACCCAAUGAAUUUAUCCUUUUCUUUCUGUUUUGUUGCGUCCACACCAUCAAAAUUCUGUUGUGAUUGUGUUUUUUGUGUUUAUUUUUGUGUUUAGCCAAGCAAAACCUUUAUGACUAGUCUUGGUAAUGGUUGUUUGAUCCUGCUGGAAAAAAGACAGAAACUUUUCGCUCACGAGAUGAUUUUUCAUUUUUAUUCAGUAAGAUAUUUUGAGUUGAUUCUUUUUGCUGCUGGUUGAUAUGCUUUUUCCGCAGGCCUUCGUAAUUUUUCAGAUUUUUUAAGGUACCAUAAGUAUACGAAGUAUACAGAUUUCUACAAACUGGUCUGUUUUUGACAGAUUCUGUUUUUGUUUAGUUGGUUGCUUGUUUUGAUGAAACUAUGGUUAGUAUCAGUGGGUACUAGCCAUGGAAAAGUGAGAAUACAGUAUCCCAACACCAAUAUAGAUAGAAUUCAAGUUUGCUACCGUACCAAAAGAAGUGGUAGUUUGUUUUCUUGUGCUAAUGUUAUCACGAGUUUCCGUUUAAGUUUUGUGUUGUGAAGUUCUCAAGCUUUGGGUGAUGUUCUCAUGGACAAAGAGAUAUAGAGUGGAAAUAGCUCAAGCUUGGCGAUGCCCAAGGCAUACCAAGCCAAUUCAAGGACACCAAAAAGCCUAAGCUUGGGGAUGCCCCGGGAAGGCAUCCCCUCUUUCGUCUUCAAUCCAUCGGUAACAUUACUUGGAGCUAUAUUUUUAUUCACCACAUGAUAUGUGUUUUGCUUGGAGCAUCUUGUAUCUUAGGAGUAUUUUCCUUUUGUUGUGUCACAAUCAUCCUUGCUGCACACUUUUUUGAGAGAGAGACAUGCACUCAUCGUGAUUUUGCUAGAAUGCUCAUAGUGCUUCACUUAUAUCUUUUGAGCUAGAUACUUUUGCUCAUAGUGUUUCACUUAUAUCUUUUGAGCUAGAUUCUUUUGCUCUAGUGCUUCACUUAUAUCUUUAGGGCACAGUGGUGCGUGAUUUGGCAGUUGGCUUAUGCUAUGAAAGUAGUCCCAAAUGUGAUAGGUACCCAAAAGAGGAUGCAAAAACCUUCAUCUUCAUGUGCAUUGAGUAGAAAGAGAAGUUUUGAUUCCUCUCAAUUAUUUUUGAGACGUGGAUUUGGUAAUAUUAAGAGCUAUGUUAGUAGGGUGUUGUGAAUCUAGAAAUAAUUUUGUUGAAGUUAGUGAUUCCCGUAGCAUGCACGUAUGGUGAACCGCUAUGUUAGGAAGUCACAGCAUAAUUGAUCUAUUGAUUGUCAUCCUUUGUGUUGAGGUCGGGAUCGCGUGAUGGUUAACACCUACCAACCCUUCCCCUCGGAGUAUGCGUUUAGCACUUUGUUUCGAUUACUAAUAAAAACUUUCGCAACAAGUAUGUGAGUUCUUCAUGACUAAUGUGAGUCCAUGGUAUAGAUGCACUUUCACCUUCCACCAUUGCUAGCCUCUCUAGUGCCGCGCAAUUCUCGCCGGUGCGCAAACCCACCACAUGCCUUCCUCAAAACAGCCACCAUACCUACCUACUAUGGCAUUUUCAUAGCCAUUCCGAGAUAUAUUGCCAUGCAACUUCCACCGUUCUGUCUCGUGACUUGUGUCGUCACUCUCAUAUUGCCUUUGCAUGAUCGUAAGAUAGCUAGCGAGAUGUUUCAACGUCAUACGCCAUGCUAGAUCGUUGCACAUCCCGGUACACCGCCAGAGGCAUUUCCUAUAGAGUCAUCACCAUUUUGAGCUGUGAGUAAAGAAAAGUGUGAUGAUCAUCAUUAUUAGAGCAUUGUCCCAUGUGAUGAAAUAAAAAAAGAGGCCAAAGAGCCCAAAAACAAAAAAACAAAAAAAGAGAAAAAAAUAAAAGAAAAAAUAGAGGCCUAAGAGCCCAAAUGAAAAAAGAAAAGAGAGAAAAAGAGAGAAGGGACAAUGCUACUAUCUUUUUCCACACUUGUGCUUCAUAAUAGCACCAUGUUCUUCAUGAUUGAGAGCUUCUUGCUUUGUCACUACCAUAUGCUAGUGGGAAUCUUCAUUAUAUAACUUGGCUUGUAUAUUCCAAUGAUGGGCUUCCUCAAAAUUGCCCUAGGCGUUCGUGAGCAAGCAAGUUGGAUGCACACCCACUAGUUUUCCAUUUGAGCUUUCACAUACUUAUAGCUCUAGCGCAUCUCUUGUAUGGAAAUCCCUACUCAUUCAUAUUGAUAUCUAUUAGUGGGCAUCUCCAUAGCCUUUUGAUACGCCGAGUCAAUGUGACCAUCUUCUCCUUUUUGUCUCACAACCACCACCACACUCUAUUCCACCUAUAGUGCUAUAUCCAUGGCUCACGCUCAUGUAUUGCGUGACAGUUAUAAAAGGUUUGAGAAAGUAAGAGUGCGAAAACAAUUACUUGGCCAAUUCCGGGGUUGUGCAUGAUUUACAUUAGUUGUGUGAGGAUGAUGGAGCAUAGCCAGACUAUAUGAUUUUGUAGGGAUAACUUUCCUUGGCCUUGUUAUUUUGAAAGUUCAUGAUUACUUUGCUAGUUUGCUUGAAGUAUUAUUGUUUUCAUGUCAAUAGCAAACUAUUGUUUCGAAUCGUACGGAUCUGAACAUUCAUGUCACGUGAAAGAAGUUGCAAAGGACAACUAUGCUAGGUAGCAUUCCACAUAAAAAAUUCAUUCUUUAUCACUUCCCUACUCGAGGACGAGCAGGAGUUAAGCUUGGGGAUGCUUGAUAUGUCUCCAACGUAUCUAUAAUUUUUUAUGGUUUCAUGCUAUUAUCUUGUCAAACUUUGGAUGUUUUGCAUGCCUUUUAUAUAUUAUCUGGGACUAACUUAUUAACUAAGUGCUAAGUGCUAGUUCCUGUUUUUUCCAUGUUUUUGACCCCUUCCAUAGGAGAUUUUGAAACAGAGUCCAAACGGAAGAAAAUCCCCGAAAAUAUUUUUUUCAUAACGGAAGAAGAUCGGGAAGGUUGGGAGGCAAGGCAGGGGAGCCUCACGGGCCCCACAAGCCCCCACCCCAUGGCCAGGGGGGUAGGCCGCGACCCACAGGCUUGUGGGCCCCCUGGGCGCCCUCUGACCUAGGGGUUGCGCCUAUAUAUUCCCGAAAAAUCCGAAAAAAAUCAGGAGAUUAUCGAAAGUACUUUUCCGCCGCCGCAAACUUCUGUCUCCGCAAGAUCCCAUCUGGGGCACGUUCUGGUGCCCUGCCGGAGGGGGGAUUCGGACACGAAGGGCUUCUUCAUCAACACCAUGACCUCUCCGAUGAUGCGUGAGUAGUUCACCAUAGACCUACGGGUCCAUAGCUAGUAACUAGAUGACUUCUUCUAUCUCUUGGAUAUUCAAUACAAAGUUCUCCAUGAUCUUCAUGGAGAUCUAUCCAAUGUAAUCUUCUUUUGCGGUGUGUUUUUCGAGAUCCGAUGAAUUGUGGAUUUAUGAUCAGAUUAUUGAUACGUCUCAAACGUAUCUAUAAUUUUUGAUGGUUUCACGCUGUUAUCUUGUCAACUUUGGAUGUUUGGUUUACCUUUUAUAUCUUUUUUGGGACUAACUUAUUAACUCAGUGCCAAGUGCGAGUUCCUGUUUUUUCCGUGUUUUUGACUCUUUUCAGAUCUGAUUUUGGAACGGAGUCCAAACGGAAUAAAAUCCCCAAAAUGAUUUUUUCCAGAACGGAAGAAGAUCGGGAGGCUUGAGGGCCAAGCAAGUGGGCCCACAGGGAGCCCACAAGCCCUGUUGCCGCGACCAGGGGGAGGCCGCGGCAACCAAUCUUGUGGCCCUCCUGGCGCUCCCCUGCCCGAGGUCUUUGGCCUAUAAAUUCCCUUAAAAUCCAGAAAAAAUCAGGGCGUCCACGAAAACAAUUUUCUGCCGCCGCAAGAUUCCGUUUCCACGAGAUCUCAUCUGGAGACCCUUCCUGGUGCCCUGCCGGAGGGGACUUUGGAGUUGGAGGGCUUCUUCAUCAACAUCAUCGCCCCUCCAAUGACUCGUGAGUAGUUCACUUCAGACCUACGGGUCCGUAGUUAGUAGCUAGAUGGCUUCUUCUCUCUCUUGGAUCUUCAAUACAAAGUUCUCCAUGAUUUUCAUGGAGAUCUAUCCGAUGUAAUCUUCUUUGGCGGUGUGUUUGUCGAGAUCCAAUGAAUUGUGGAUUUGUGAUCAGAUUAUCUAUGAUAUAUAUUUGAGUCUUUGCUGAUUUCUUAUAUGCAUGAUUUGAUAUCCUUGUAAGUCUCUCCGAGUCUUGGGUUUUGUUUGGCCAACUAGAUCUAUGAUUCUUGCAAUGGGAGAAGUGCUUGGUUUUGGGUUCAUACCGUGUGGUGACCUUUCCGAGUGAUAGAAGGGGCAGCAAGGCACGCAUCAUGUUGUUGCCAUCAAGGGUAACAAGAUGGGCUUUUAUCGUAGAUAUGAGAUUGUCCAUCUACAUCAUGUCAUCUUGCUUAAGGCGUUACUCUGUUCUUUUGGACUUAAUACACUAGAUCCAUGGUGGAUAGCGGUCGACGUGUGGAGUAAUAGUAGUAGAUGCAAAAAGUAUCGGUCUACUUGUUUUGGAUGUGAUGCCUAUAGAUAUAAUUAUUGCCAUAGAUGACGUCACGACUUUGCGCGGUUCUAUCAAUUGCUCGACAGUAAUUCGUUCACCCACCGUCUACUUGCUUUCUUAAGAGAAGCCACUAGUGAACACUACGGCCCCCGGGUCUAUUCACACCUAUCGUUUCCACUUUCGCUUUUACUUUGCUUUGUUACUUUGUUGCUUUCAGUUCUCACUUGGCAAACAAUCUAUAAGGGAUUGACAACCCCUUCAUAGCAUUGGGAGCAAGCUCUUUGUGUUUGUGCAGGUAAUUGUGAUAUUUCUUCACUGGAUCGAUACCUUGGUUCUCAAAACUGAGGGAAAUACUUACCGCCACUGUGCUACAUCACCCUUUCCGCUUCGAGGGAACACCAACGCAAGGCUCCAAGGUCACAGGGGAAUCCUUUGCAUAUUUGCCUAGGAAGUCCCUAAAGGCGUAGCCGUAGCACAAGGAUUCCUGGUGCCGUUGCUGAGGAGUAUCAAGACAAGAAUAGUCUCCCGUCAGCACACUUGUUUCUGGCGCCGUUAUAAGGUCUUUUGUUGCAACAACAGAAGUAUUUCUGGCGCCGUUGCCGGGGAAGGAGAGAUCAAGACCUAUCCAAGUAGGUGUCACAAACUCAUCUUUUGCAUUUACCUUUUUUGCCAGUUGCCUCUCGUUUUCCUCUCCCCCACUUCACAUUUGCCGUUUUCGUUUGCCUUUUUCAUUUGCCUUUUUCAUUCGCCCUUUCCUCUCGCUUGCUUUCUGUUUGCUUGUGUUGCCAUGUGCCUUCAAUAUGCUGCCAUCUUCGCUUGCUGAAAAUCUAGUGAUAUGGAUCCUCAUCCACUUGCUAAUCUCUUUAAGAGAUCCAAUUAUGUUGAUCCAAUUGCUAGUGAGUUGAGUGCACUUGACUAUCUUUAUGGAGCUUUGCUUAAGAUGCGUGAAUCUUAAAAUCGUGAUGUAGAAAUUUAUGAAGUGAUUCACGAGGGCUCCUUGGAUGAAAAGCAUGAUUGCAAUGGUUUCACUAUAAAUUCUAUUAGUGACAAUCAUGCUAAAAAUAUGCAAAACCCUAAGCUUGGGGAUGCUAGUUUUGCUAUGUCCACUACUUGUUGCAAUGAUCAUGAGUGGGGCGAUGAUUUUUCUUAUGAUCUUGAAAAUUUGUUUAAGCCUCAUGAUGAAUAUGAUAUUUGCAAUAAUAUUGAAAGUGGGUUUGGAGAAGUCGUGACUUUCAUUGAUGAUAAUCCCACUAUUUUUGAAGAGCAUCAACUUUGCCUGCAUGUGGAUCAUGAAAAUAAUAUCCUUUCUGAUAGCUAUAUUGUUGAAUUUGAAUAUGAUCCCACAUGUAAUUGCUAUGAGAGAGGAAAAAUAUUGUGGUAGAAACUUUCAUGUUACCAAAUUACCUCUCGUCAUGUUGAGAUUGCUAUUGUCUCUUUCUUCUUCCUUGCAUAUGGUAACUAUUGGUUGUCUUGACAAUCUAUUUUCCUAUAAAAUGCAUAUGCAUAGGAAGUAUGUUAGACUUAGAUGUGAUUUUCACAUGCUUUAUGAUGCUCUCGUUGUGCUUCAAUUUUUGUCUUUUGUGUGAGCAUCAUUGAUUUAUCAAUGCCUAGCUAAGGGCGUUAAACAAUAGCGCUUGUUGGGAGGCAACCCAACGAAUCUAUCUUUUUUCUUUCUGUUUUGUGUUUUCCACACUUUCAUAAUUCUUUUAUGAUUGUGUUUUUUGUGUUUCUUCUUGCGUUUGUGCCAAGCAAAACCGUUAUGAUUAAUCUUGGGGAUGAUCGUUUGGUCAUGCUGGAAAAGACAGAAACUUUCUGCUCACGAAAAUAAUUUUCAUUUUUUUUCUGUAAGAGCUUUUGAGUUGAUUCUUUUUGCUUCUGAUUGCUACGCAAAUUAUUAAGACUGUCGUAAUGUUUCAAAAUUUUUGAAGUACCAGAAGUAUACGAAGUGUACAGAUUGCUACAGACUGGUCGGCUGUUAACAGAUUCUGUUUUUGUUGUGUUGGUUGCUUAUUUUGAUGAAACUAUGGAUAGUAUCGGGGGAUAUUAGCCAUGGAAAUUGAAAAUACAGUAACAUAACAUCAACAUAAGUAGAAUUUAAGUUUGCUACAGUACCUAAGGAAGUGGUGGUUUGCUUUCUUAUGCUAAUGUUAUCACGAGUUUCUGUUUAAGUUUCGUGUUGUGAAGUUUUCAAGUUUUGGGUGAAGUUCUUAUGGAAAAAAAAGAUAAAGAGUGGCAAGAGCUCAAGCUUGGGGAUACCCAAGGCACCCCAAGAGAUUCAAGGAUGCCGUAAAAGCCUAUGCUUGGGGAUACCCAAGGCACCCCAAGAGAUUCAAGGAUGCCGUAAAAGCCUAAGCUUGGGGAUGCCCCGGGAAGGCAUCCCCUCUUUCGUCUUCAAUCCAUCGGUAACGUUACUUGGAGCUAUAUUUUUAUUCACCACAUGUUAUGUGUUUUGCUUGGAGCGUCUUGUAUCGUAGGAUUCUUUUAUUUUUGUUGUGUCACAUUCAUCCUUGCUGCACACCUAGAGAGAGAGACAUGCACUCACCAUGAUUUUGUCGAGCUUCACUUAUAUCCUUUGGUUAGACAAUUCAGCUCACAUGUGCUUCACUUAUAUCUUUUGAGCUAGUUGAUUUUUCUCUAUGUGCUUCACUUAUAUCUUUUAGAGCACGGUGGUGCGUGGCUUGGUAGUUGAUCUAUGCUAUGAAAGUAGUCUCAAAAGGGGUAGUUAUCCAAAGGGAUACGAAAACUUCCACCUUCAUGUGCAUUGAAUAGUUAGAGAAGUUUGAUUCAUCUCAACUAGUUUUGAGUAGUGGUUAUGGUAAUAUUGAAGUUAUAUUAGUAAGGUGUUGUGGAUCUAGAAAUACGUGUGUUGAAGUUAGUGAUUCCCGUAGCAUGCACGUACGGUGAACCGCUAUGUGAUGAAGUCUGAGCAUGAUUAGUCUAUUGAUUGUCAUCCUUUGUGUGGCGGUCGGGAUCGCGCAAUGGUUUAUACCUACCAACCCUUCCCCUAGGAGUAUGCGUUGAAUGCUUUGUUUCGAUUACUAAUAAAACUUUUGCAACAAGUAUAUGAGUUCUUCAUGACUAAUGUUGAGUCCAUGGUUUAGAUGCACUUUCACCUUCCACCAUAACUAUCUUCUUUAGUGCCGUGCAACUUUCGCCGGUGCACAAAACCCACCAUUAGCCUCCCUCAAAACAGCCACCAUACCUACCUACUAUGGCCUUUUCAAAGUCAUUCCGAAAUAUAUUGCCAUGCAACUACCACCAUGACAUGUGCCACCACGUCUACAUUGCCAUUACAUGAUCGUAAGAUAGCUAGCAUGAUGUUUCCAUUAAUGUCUAUGCCAUGCUAGAUCAUUGUCACAGUACACUACCGAAGGCAUUCCAUAUAGAGUCAUCGUUGCUCUAAGUUUUGAGUUGUAAGUGUGAUGAUCAUCAUUGAUGGAGCAUUGUCCCAUGUGAGGAAAUAAAAGAGGCCAAAGAUGCCCACCAAAAAAAGAGGCCAAAGAGCCCAUCCAAAUAAAAUAAAAUAAAAAAAUGAAUGAGAGAAAAAGAGAGAAGGGACAAUGCUACCUCCUAUCCACACUUGUGCAUAUUAAGCACCAUGAUCUUCAUGAUUGAGAGUCUCUCGUUUUGUCACCACCAUAUAGCUAGUGGGAAAUUUUCAUUAUAUAACUUAGCUUGUAUAUUCCAAUGAUAGGCUUCCUGAAAAUUGCCUUAGGUCUUUGUGAGCAAGCAAGUUGUAUGCACACCCACUAGUUUUCUUUAAGAGCUUUCACAUACUCUUAGCUCUAGUGCAUCAUUUGUAUGGCAAUCCCUACUCAUUCACAUUGAUAUCUAUUGAUGAGCAUCUCCACAGCUCAUUGAUAUGCCUAGUUAAUGUGACCAUCUUCUCCUUGUUUGUCUUGCAACCUCCACCUCACUCCACACCACUUAUAGUGCUAAAACCAUGGCUCACACUCAUGUAUUGCGUGAGAGUUGAAAAGGUUUGAGAAAGAAAAGGUGUGAAAACAAUUACUUGGCCAAUACCGGGGUUCUGCAUGAUUUAAAUUCGUUGUGCAAUGAUGAUAGAGGAUAGCCAGACUAUAUGAUUUUGUAGGGAUAACUUUCCUUUGGCCUUGUUAUUUUGAAAGUUCAUGAUUACCUUGCUAGUUUGCUUGAAUUAUUAUUGUUUCCACGUCAAUAGCAAACUAUUGUUUUGAAUCUAAUGGAUCUAAACAUUCACGUCACAUAAGAGAAGUUACAAAGGACAUCUAUGCUAGGUAGCAUGAAAGCAUCAAAAAUUGAUUCUUUAUCACUUCCCUACUCGAGGACGAGCAGGAGUUAAGCUUGGGGAUGCUUGAUAAGUCUCAAACGUAUCUAUAAUUUUUGAUGGUUUCACGCUGUUAUCUUGUCAACUUUGGAUGUUUUGUUUACCUUUUAUAUCUUUUUUGGGACUAACUUAUUAACUCGGUGCCAAGUGCCAGUUCCUAUUUUUUCUGUGUUUUUGACUCUUUUCAGAUCUGAUUUUGGAACGGAGUCCAAACAGAAUAAAAUCCCCAAAAUGAUUUUUUCCAGAAGGGAAGAAGAUCGGGAGGCUUGAGGGCCAAGCAAGUGGGCCCACAAGUCCGGUUGCCGCGGCCAGGGGGGAGGCCGCGACAACCAAGCUUGUGCCCCCCCUGGCGCUCCCCUGCCCUAGGUCUUUGGCCUAUAAAUUCCCUAAAAAUCCAGAAAAAAUCAGGGCAUCCACGAAAACACUUUUCCGCCGCCGCAAGCUUCCGUUUCUGCGAGAUCUCAUCUGCAGACCCUUCCCGGUGCCCUGCCUGAGGGGACUUUGGAGUUGGAGGGCUUCUUCAUCAACACCAUCGCCCCUCCAAUGACUCGUGAGUAGUUCACUUCAGACCUACGGGUCCGUAGUUAGUAGCUAGAUGGCUUCUUCUCUCUCUUGGAUCUUCAAUACAAAGUUCUCCAUGAUCUUCAUGGAGAUCUAUCCGAUGUAAUCUUCUUUGGCGGUGUGUUUGUCGAGAUCCGAUGAAUUGUGGAUUUGUGAUCAGAUUAUCUAUGAUAUAUAUUUGAGUCUUUGCUGAUUUCUUAUAUGCAUGAUUUGAUAUCCUUGUAAGUCUCUCCGAGUCUUGGGUUUUGUUUGGCCAACUAGAUCUAUGAUUCUUGCAAUGGGAGAAGUGCUUGGUUUUGGGUUCAUACCGUGUGGUGACCUUUCCCAGUGACAGAAGGGGCAACAAAGCACACAUCGUGUUGUUGCCAUCAAGGGUAACAAGAUGGGCUUUUAUCGUAGAUAUGAGAUUGUCCAUCUACAUCAUGUCAUCUUACUUAAGGCGUUACUCUGUUCUUUUGGACUUAAUACACUAGAUGCACGGUGGAUAGCGGUCGACGUGUGGAGUAAUAGUAGUAGAUGCAGAAAGUAUCAGUCUACUUGUUUUGGAUGUGAUGCCUAUAUAUAUAAUCAUUGCCAUAGAUGACGUCACGACUUUGUGCGGUUCUAUCAAUUGCUCGACAGUAAUUCGUUCACCCACCGUCUACUUGCUUUCAUGAGAGAAGCCACUAGUGAACACUACGGCCCCCGGGUCUAUUCACACCUAUCGUUUCCACUUUCGCUUUUACUUUGCUUUGUUACUUUGUUUCUUUCAGUUCUCACUUGGCAAACAAUCUAUAAGGGAUUGACAACCCCUUCAUAGCGUUGGGAGCAAGCUCUUUGUGUUUUUGCAGGUACUUGUGAUAUUCCAUCACUGGAUCGAUACCUUGGUUCUCAAAACUGAGGGAAAUACUUACUGCCGCUGUACUACAUCACCCUUUCCGCUUCGAGGGAACACCAACACAAGGCUUAAAGGCCACGGGAGAAUCCUUUGCAUAUUUGCCUAGGAAGUCCCUAAAGGUGUAGCCGUAGCAGAAGGAUUCCUGGUGCCGUUGAUGAGGAGUAUCAAGACAAGAAUAGUCUCCCGUCAGCACGCUUGUUUCUGGUGCCGUUGGAAGGUCUUUUGUUGCAUCAACAAUUAUCUAUGAAUCUUAUUUGAGUUUCUUCUGAUCUCUCUUAUGCAUGAUUUCAUAUGCUUAUAAUUCUCUUCGAGUUGUGGGUUUUGUCUGGCCAACUAGAUGUAUGAUUUUUGCAAUGGGAGAAGUGCUUGGUUUUGGGUUCAUACCGUGCGGUGACCUCACCCAGUGACAGAAGGGGUAGCGAGGCACGCAUCUUGUUGUUGCCAUCAAGGGUAAAAAGAUGGGGUUUUCAUCAUUGGUUUGAGAUUAUCCCUCUACAUCAUGUCAUCUUGCUUAAGGCGUUACUCUGUUCGUCAUGAACUCAAUACACUAGAUGCAUGCUGGAUAGCGAUCGAUGUGUGGAGUAAUAGUAGUAGAUGCAGAAAGUAUCGGUGUACUUGUCUCGGACGUGAUGCCUAUAUGUAUGAUCAUUGCCUUAGAUAUCAUCAUGACUUUGCGCGGUUCUAUCAAUUGCUCGACAGUAAUUUGUUCACCCACCGUAAUACUUGCUAUUUUGAGAGAAGCCUCUAGUGAACACUAUGGCCCCCAGGGUCUACUCCACACUAUAUUUUCAGCCUUACACUUUUUACUUCGUUGCACUUUUCGCCUUCAGAUAUCACUUUGCAAACAAUCUUGAAGGGAUUGACAACCCCUUUAAAGCGUUGGGUGCAAGCUUGUUUGUGUUUGCGCAGGUACUCUGGACUUGACGAGACCCUCCUUCUGGAUCGAUACCUUGGUUCUCAAACUGAGGGCAAUACUUACUGCAAACCAGAGUAGUAACAAGAAGAAUUCAUAGUGCUAAGGAAGGACUUUUGUUGCCGUAGAAGUGUGUGUCUCUCUCAAAAGGUGUGCAACAAGUAUGAUUGUGACACACAAAAAAAAACUCCUACGAUACAAGACGCUCCAAGCAAAACACAUAUCAUGUGGUGAAUAAAAAUAUAGCUCCAACUAAUGUUACCGAUGGAUUGAAGACGAAAGAGGGGAUGCCUUCCCGGGGCAUCCCCAAGCUUNNNNNNNNNNNNNNNNNNNNNNNNNNNNNNNNNNNNNNNNNNNNNNNNNNNNNNNNNNNNNNNNNNNNNNNNNNNNNNNNNNNNNNNNNNNNNNNNNNNNCGCCCGCCACCGUCACCGUCACGCGCCAGCGCCGUGGACCGCGCCUUUAUUUAUACCGGUGCCGUCGACGGAGCAGCCGGCUGUUACACACGUAGUACGUAGUAACAUCGAGCCCCGUCCCGUUUCGUGGAGGCCGAAGAGGGGGGAGAGAGAGAGAGAGAGNNNNNNNNNNNNNNNNNNNNNNNNNNNNNNNNNNNNNNNNNNNNNNNNNNNNNNNNNNNNNNNNNNNNNNNNNNNNNNNNNNNNNNNNNNNNNNNNNNNNNNNNNNNNNNNNNNNNNNNNNNNNNNAGAGAGAGAGAGAGAGGAGAUCCGGCGCGGAACGGCCAAGGCCAAGGACGCGCUGCUUUGGUGGCGUGGUACGCUGGUAGGGAGUAGUACCUCCGCUGCUGCGCCAUCCCUCGCCCCCACUUACUCGCCGCGCGAGCGCCAUUGAUUGACUGACUGACUGAUUGGAGGGGUGUCGAGGCCGUGGAGCGGGUCUGGGAGUGGCGGAGUGCGGCGCCAUUGCGGAGAGAAUUGGGAGCCGGAGCGGGAGCGGGAGUCGGUGGUUGUCCUAUGUGGCGCUGGUCGGGGCUGUGAGAUCCGCAGCAGCAGCAGCCAUGUCGCGGCCGCUGUACCGGGGCUUCUCUGGUUCCGGCGGCAAGGACCGCUGCGCGGACGAGGACCGCCACUACGANNNNNNNNNNNNNNNNNNNNNNNNNNNNNNNNNNNNNNNNNNNNNNNNNNNNNNNNNNNNNNNNNNNNNNNNNNNNNNNNNNNNNNNNNNNNNNNNNNNNCCUAAAAGAACAUGGUUGACCACCUCCAAGCUCUCACUCUUCCCUCUCUAGCCAACCCACCUUAUAUUUCUUGAGAGGAAAGACACAUGAGACCUAGAUCUACGUUUCUAGCAAACCAAUCUUGAAUCCCCAAAGUUUCUUAUUUUAUUUAUUGCUCUUUGGUUCGUGGGAAACCCUAGGUAGAUUGGUAUGCCCUGAGAGCCUCCAACUUGUGCAAUUGUUCCCUAGGCUUGUGAAAUGAUCGAUAUGGUCGAAUAAAGGGUGGGUGGGGGUUUGAAUAUGCGACUAACAAUUUUAACUACUUUUUUUAACAAAUUAGGUUUAACAAGAAUAUAAGUUGUCUAGAAAUGCAACUUGGCGGGCAACCUAUAUGAUGAACUCAACAACAACAACAAUAGAAAGCAAAUGAUAUGAACACAUUAUAAGCUUGAAACAAGUAAAUGUAAGUUGUAUCUGGAAGUGGACUUGAUGGAGACGAGAAUGUGUUACCGGAGUUCCCUCCUUUUGGGGAAGGUACGCCUCUGUUGGAGCGGUGUUGAGGCACAAUGCUUCCCAAGAAGCCACUAGGGCCACCAUAUUUUCCUCGCGCCCUUACACAAUGCGAUAUGUCGUGAUUCCACUAGCAGUACACUUGAAGGAUGUAGGAUCAAAAGUAUGUCUAGGGUCGGGGGGGGGGGGGAUUAGACUACUUGACCAAAUAAAAACUUAACAUUUUCCCGAUUUUAUCGGUUGACAAGUUUUAGCAAUCUUACCAAGUCUAGCCCACCCUACACAUGCAAGUCUACGAGUAUAACGGCGAAAAGUAAAGACAUGCAAGUGAAGUAGAGGAUAGGGAUAGGAAGAUCAAACGUAAUGAAGACACAAAGACUUUUCACAUGGUUUUGAUAGGUGGUGCUAUCAUACAUCCACAUUUAUGAAGACUUCAAUCCGCAGAGGUUAACCACUGCGCAAGUCCACAGAGGGCUCGACCCAUGAAGGGUCCACGAAAAAGCAACCUUGUGUAUUCCACCAUGGCUUACAUCCACGAAGGACUAACUUCUUGGUUCAGUUUCAAACACGAGGGCCAUAGUUUUCGCUAGAGACUUCUCUCUCGAAGAAAGCAUACGGUGGGUAAACAAAUUAAUGUUGAACAAUUGAUAUAAAAACACAUAGUUAUGUAAUAUUUAUUCACGGCAAUGAUCACACAUAUAGGCAUCACGUCCAUAAGCAAGUAGACAGACUCGUUGCUGCAUCUACUACUAUUAGUCCACUCAUCAACCGCUACGAGCAUGCAUCUAGAGUAUUAAGUAAAAACAGAGUAAUGCUUGGGGCAAAGUGACAUGAUAUAGACAAAGUAAACUCAACUAAUAUGAGUAAAACAUAGUAUUAUCCUUAAUGGAAGCAAUACAAUACGUGUCUUGUCCCAUUCUGUCAGUGGGAUUGAGCACCACAAGAUUGAACCCAUCACAACGAACCACUCCCAUUGAAGAUAAAUCAAUCUAGUUGGCCAAACCAAACCGAUAUAUCGGAGAUAAAUAAGAAGCUAUCAUAAUCAUGCAUAUAAGAAUUCAAAGAUUACUGNNNNNNNNNNNNNNNNNNNNNNNNNNNNNNNNNNNNNNNNNNNNNNNNNNNNNNNNNNNNNNNNNNNNNNNNNNNNNNNNNNNNNNNNNNNNNNNNNNNNUAUAAAGACAACCCUAUGGCUCCUGCCGGUUGCCGUACCAUCGACGUGCAAGUCGAUAUUUCUAUUACAACAUGAUCAUCUCAUACAUCCAAUAUAUCACAUCACAUCAUUGGCCAUAUCACAUCACAAUCAUACCCUGCAAAAACAAGUUAGACGUCCUCUAAUUUUGUUGUUGCAUGUUUUACGUGGUGACCAAGGGUAUCUAGUAGGAUCGCAUCUUACUUACGUAAACACCACAACGAAGAUAUAUGAGUUGCUAUUUAACCUCAUCCAAGGACCUCCUCGGUCAAAUCCGAUUCAACUAAAGUUGGAGAAACCGUCACUUGCCAGUCAUCUUUGAGCAAAGGGGGUUACUCGUAACGAUGAAACCAGUCUCUCGUAAGCGUACGAGUAAUGUCGGUCCAAGCCGCUUCAAUCCAACAAUACCGCGGAAUCAAGAAAAGACUAAGGAGGGCAGAAAAACGCACAUCACCGCCCACAAAACCUUUUGUGUUCUACUCAAGAAGACAUCUACGCAUGAACCUAGCUCUGAUACCACUGUUGGGGAGCGUCGCAUGGGAAACAAAAAUUUUCCUACGCGCACGAAGACCUAUCAUGGUGAUGUCCAUCUACGAGAGGGGAUGAGUGAUCUACGUACCCUUGUAGAUUGUACAGCAGAAGCGUUAGAGAACGCGGUUGAUGUAGUGGAACGUCCUCACGUCCCUCGAUCCGCCCCGCGAACAAUCCCGCGAUCAGUCCCACGAUCUAGUACCGAACGGACGGCACCUCCGCGUNNNNNNNNNNNNNNNNNNNNNNNNNNNNNNNNNNNNNNNNNNNNNNNNNNNNNNNNNNNNNNNNNNNNNNNNNNNNNNNNNNNNNNNNNNNNNNNNNNNNCGUGAUGCCUAUAUGUAUGAUCAUUGCCUUAGAUAUCAUCAUGACUUUGCGCGGUUCUAUCAAUUGCUCGACAGUAAUUUGUUCACCCACCGUAAUACUUGCUAUUUUGAGAGAAGCCUCUAGUGAACACUAUGGCCCCCAGGGUCUACUCCACACUAUAUUUUCAGCCUUACACUUUUUACUUCGUUGCACUUUUCGCCUUCAGAUAUCACUUUGCAAACAAUCUUGAAGGGAUUGACAACCCCUUUAAAGCGUUGGGUGCAAGCUUGUUUGUGUUUGCGCAGGUACUCUGGACUUGACGAGACCCUCCUUCUGGAUCGAUACCUUGGUUCUCAAACUGNNNNNNNNNNCAAUACUUACUGCAAACCAGAGUAGUAACAAGAAGAAUUCAUAGUGCUAAGGAAGGACUUUUGUUGCCGUAGAAGUGUGUGUCUCUCUCAAAAGGUGUGCAACAAGUAUGAUUGUGACACACAAAAAAAAACUCCUACGAUACAAGACGCUCCAAGCAAAACACAUAUCAUGUGGUGAAUAAAAAUAUAGCUCCAAGUAAUGUUACCGAUGGAUUGAAAACGAAAGAGGGGAUGCCUUCCCGGGGCAUCCCCAAGCUUAGGCUUUNNNNNNNNNNNNNNNNNNNNNNNNNNNNNNNNNNNNNNNNNNNNNNNNNNNNNNNNNNNNNNNNNNNNNNNNNNNNNNNNNNNNNNNNNNNNNNNNNNNNCUACAUGAUCUUCAUGGAGAUCUAUCCGAUGUAAUCUUCUUUUGCAGUGUGUUUGUUGAGAUCCGAUGAAUUGUGGAUUUAUGAUCAGAUUAUCUAUGAAUCUUAUUUCAGUUUCUUCUCAUCUCUCUUAUGCAUGAUUUCAUAUCCUUGUAAUUAUGUUCGAGUUGUGGGUUUUUUUUCUGGCUAACUAGAUCUAUGAUUCUUGCAAUGGGAGAAGUGCUUGGUUUUUGGUUCAUACCGUGCGGUGACCUCACCCAGUGACAGAAGGGGUAGCGAGNNNNNNNNNNGUUGGGAGCAAGCUCUUUGUGUUUUUGCAGGUACUUGUGAUAUUCCAUCACUGGAUCGAUACCUUGGUUCUCAAAACUGAGGGAAAUACUUACUGCCGCUGUACUACAUCACCCUUUCCGCUUCGAGGGAACACCAACACAAGGCUUAAAGGCCACGGGAGAAUCCUUUGCAUAUUUGCCUAGGAAGUCCCUAAAGGUGUAGCCGUAGCAGAAGGAUUCCUGGUGCCGUUGAUGAGGAGUAUCAAGACAAGAAUAGUCUCCCGUCAGCACGCUUGUUUCUGGUGCCGUUGGAAGGUCUUUUGUUGCAUCAACAAUUAUCUAUGAAUCUUAUUUGAGUUUCUUCUGAUCUCUCUUAUGCAUGAUUUCAUAUGCUUAUAAUUCUCUUCGAGUUGUGGGUUUUGUCUGGCCAACUAGAUGUAUGAUUUUUGCAAUGGGAGAAGUGCUUGGUUUUGGGUUCAUACCGUGCGGUGACCNNNNNNNNNNCCAGAUUAUCUAUGAAUCUUAUUUGAGUUUCUUCUGACCUCUCUUAUGCAUGAUUUCAUAUCCUUGUAAUUCUCUUUGAGUUGUGGGUUUUUUCUGGCCAACUAGAUCUAUGAUUCUUGCAAUGGGAGAAGUGCUUGGUUUUGGUUUCAUACCAUGCGAUGACCUCACCCAGUGACAGAAGGGGUAGCGAGGCACGCAUCGUGUUGUUGCCAUCAAGGGUAAAAAGAUGGGGUUUUCAUCAUUGGUUUGAGAUUAUCCCUCUACAUCAUGUCAUCUUGCUUAAGGCGUUACUCUGUUCGUNNNNNNNNNNAUGUUGUUGCCGUCAAGGGUAAAAAGAUGGGGUUUUCAUCAUUGGUUUGAGAUUAUCUCUCUACAUCAUGUCAUCUUGCUUAAGGCGUUAUUCUGUUCGUCAUGAACUCAAUACACUAGAUGCAUGCUGGAUAGCGGUCGAUGUGUGGAGUAAUAGUAGUAGAUGGAGAAAGUAUCGGUCUACUUGUCUCAGACGUGAUGCAUAUAUGUAUGAUCAUUGCCUUAGAUAUCGUCAUGACUUUGCACACUUCUAUCAAUUGCUCGACAGUAAUUUCUUCACCCACCGUGAUAUUUGCUAUUUUGGGAGAAGCCUCUAGUGAACACUAUGGCCCCCAGGGUCUACUCCACACUANNNNNNNNNNGAUAUCCUUGUAAUUCUCUUCGAGUUGUGGAUUUUGUUUGGCCAACUAGAUCUAUGAUUCUUGCAAUGGGAGAAGUGCUUGGUUUUGGAUUCAUACCGUGCGGUGACAUCCACCCAGUGACAGAAGGGGUAGCGAGGCAUGCAUCGUGUUGUUGCCAUCAAGGGUAAAAAGAUGGGGUUUUCAUCAUUNNNNNNNNNNGCGCGAUUCUAUCAAUUGCUCGACAAUAAUUUCUUCACCCACCGUGAUAUUUGCUAUUUUGAGAGAAGCCUCUAGUGAACACUAUGGCCCCUAGGGUCUACUCCACACCAUAUUUUCAGCCUUAUACUUUUUACUUCGUUGCACUUUCCGCCUUCAGAUCUCACUUUGCAAACAAUCUUGAAGGGAUUGACAACCCCUUUGAAGCGUUGGGUGCAAGCUUGUUUGUGUUUGCGCAGGUACUCUCGUCUUGAUGAGACCCUCCUUCUGGAUCAAUACCUUGGUUCUCUAACUGAGGGAAAUAGUUACUGCUCCUGUGCUGCAUCACCCUUUCCUCUUCAAGGGCAAAACCAACACAAGCCCAGUCUCCGUCAACGUGACAAUUUCUGGCGAUGUUGUCUAUUACCGUAGCAGAAGAAUUUCUGGCGCCGUUGCCGGGGAGGAAGAUCAAGUCAAGAACUCAUACAAGUAGGUGUCGCAAACUCAUCUCUUGCAUUUACUUUGUUUGCGAGUUGCCUCUCGUUUUCCUCUCCCCCACUUCACAAUUUGCCUUUUUCAUUUUCCUUUGCGUUCGCCCUUUUCUCUCGCUUACUUUGUGUUCGUCUGUGUGGGAUAGUCUAUCCUGAUGGCUAGAUCCACCACUUCGAACGAUACUCCCAAGAGCGAAGUCCUCAAUUUCAAACAAACUGAGCUAGAAAACUUAAAGGACGCUUGGUUUAGGAUUUGCAAUGCUCAGAGUAGAUCUACUCAUAGGCAAUCCACUACCGUCCUCCUUCGUAGCUUUUAUGUGGGUGUUUCUCCUUGGAAUAGGUAUAUUCUUGACACCAUCGUAGGUAGAAAUUUUUUGGGUAGCCAUACCGUUGAUUCUUACGGAGCUGUAAUAAAUUUGGUAGGCUCACCCCCACUCAUGGUUAAUGGAACUACCUUAACUCUAGAACAUGUGAUACGUAGGUUGGACGUCAUUGAAAAUAAAGUUGCUAUGAUUGAACUCAUUGAGAAUUUGGAUAAAAAGAUCCACAAUCAAAUCACUCAGGACGGAUCCAAGGUGGGAAUGGUUUUGAAAAAUUUAAAGUAGAAGGAGCCCACAGUUAAUGAAAAGCUAGGUCAUGAUUCCACUAGGAUUGGCAAACUAGAGGAUGUUAUAACCAACUUGGGUUCCGCUUUUGCCGCUCUGCAGAAUACUCCAAAUUUUGGCCACAAUAAAAUCACCAAGUUUUUUUUUGUUCCUAAAAGUAGUGGUGAAUCUUCCAGCAAGAGAGAUUAAAACCUUAAGAUGAUAAGUGAUCACGCCACUUAUGGUUUGAGCACCAAAGACGACGAUACGUGAUUCUAUCGCUUUUAUGCCUAGCUAAGGGCGUUAAACAAUAUCGCUUGUUGGGAGGCAACCCAAUGAAUUUAUAUUUUUCUUUAUAUUUUGUUGCGUCCACACCAUCACAAUUCUGUUGUGAUAGUGUUUUUUGUGUUUCUUUUUGUGUUUGAGCCAAGCAAAACCUUUAUGACUAGUCUUGGUAAUGGUUGUUUGAUCCUGCUGGAAAAAGACAGAAACUUUUCGCUCACGAGAUAAUUUUUAAUUUUUAUUCAGAAAGAGCUUUUGAGUUUAUUCUUUUUGCUGCUGGUUUAUAUGCCUUUUUACCAGGCCUUCGUAAUUUUUCAGAUUUUUUGAGGUACCAGAAGUAUACGAAGUAUACAGAUUGCUACAGACUGAUUUGUUUUUGACAGAUUCUAUUUUUGUUAAGUUGGUUGCUUGUUUUGAUGAAACUAUGGUUAGUAUCGGGGGGUACUAGCCAUGGAAAAGUGAGAAUACAGUAGCCCAACACCAAUGUAGAUAGAAUUCAAGGUUGCUACAGUACCAAAAGAAGUGGUAGUUUGUUUUCUUGUGCUAAUGUUAUCACGAGUUUCCGUUUAAGUUUUGUGUUGUGAAGUUCUCAAGCUUUGGGUGAUGUUCUCAUGGACAAAGAGAUAUAGAGUGGAAAUAGCUCAAGCUUGGCGAUGCCCAAGGCAUACCAAGCCAAUUCAAGGACACCAAAAAGCCUAAGCUUGGGGAUGCCCCGGGAAGGCAUCCCCUCUUUCGUCUUCAAUCCAUCGGUAACAUUACUUGGAGCUAUAUUUUUAUUCACCACAUGAUAUGUGUUUUGCUUGGAGCAUCUUGUAUCUUAGGAGUAUUUUCCUUUUGUUGUGUCACAAUCAUCCUUGCUGCACACUUUUUUGAGAGAGAGGACAUGCACUCAUCGUGAUUUUGCUACAAUGCUCAUAGUGCUUCACUUAUAUCUUUUGAGCUAGAUACUUUUGCUCAUAGUGUUUCACUUAUAUCUUUUGAGCUAGAUUCUUUUGCUCUAGUGCUUCACUUAUAUCUUUAGGGCACAGUGGUGCGUGAUUUGGCAGUUGGCUUAUGCUAUGAAAGUAGUCCCAAAUGUGAUAGGUACCCAAAGAGGAUGCAAAAACCUCCAUCUUCAUGUGCAUUGAGUAGAAAGAGAAGUUUUGAUUNNNNNNNNNNNNNNNNNNNNNNNNNNNNNNNNNNNNNNNNNNNNNNNNNNNNNNNNNNUAGAAAUAAUUUUGUUGAAGUUAGUGAUUCCCGUAGCAUGCACGUAUGGUGAACCGCUAUGUUAGGAAGUCGGAGCAUAAUUGAUCUAUUGAUUGUCAUCCUUUAUGUUGAGGUCGGGAUCGCGCGAUAGUUAACACCUACCAACCCUUCCCCUAGGAGUAUGUGUUUAGCACUUUGUUUCGAUUACUAAUAAAAACUUCCGCGACAAGUAUGUGAGUUCUUCAUGACUAAUGUGAGUCCAUGGUAUAGAUGNNNNNNNNNNACAGCAUAAUUGAUCUAUUGAUUGUCAUCCUUUGUGUUGAGGUCGGGAUCGCGUGAUGGUUAACACCUACCAACCCUUCCCCUCGGAGUAUGCGUUUAGCACUUUGUUUCGAUUACUAAUAAAAACUUUCGCAACAAGUAUGUGAGUUCUUCAUGACUAAUGUGAGUCCAUGGUAUANNNNNNNNNNNNNNNNNNNNNNNNNNNNNNNNNNNNNNNNNNNNNNNNNNNNNNNNNNNNNNNNNNNNNNNNNNNNNNNNNNNNNNNNNNNNNNNNNNNNCCUGUGCUGCAUCACCCUUUCCUCUUCAAGGGAAAAACCAACGCAAGCCCAGUCUCCGUCAACGUGUCAAUUUCUGACGCUAUUGUCUGUUGUCGUAGCACAUCUCUUCGCCGAACUAGUGCACCUAUAUAACUGGCAAUUGUAUUAGGUGUGUUGGGGACACAUGAGACUUCUUGUAUCUUAAUUGCAGGGUUUCUUGAGAGAGACCAUCUUCAACCUCUACUUCUCUGAGUUCGUUAAACCUUAGGUCAUCCACUUGAGCAAAAUUGAUGCUUUCCUACAAACCUCUGCGCUUGGAGGCCCAACAUAGUCUACAAGAAUAGAAGUGUGCGUAGACAUCACUCCCCUAAGGAUGAGUAUUUAAGAAUUUCCUCUCUCCGUGAAUCAUAGCAUGUAGAUAUUGGGAGUAGGUAGGGUGAGACAAGUUCAAUCCAUAUAUAGCAAUAAAACAAUUACAGCUCUUCCCCCCUUAUUGGUAUAACUCCUCCUGAGUAUGUAAGGUUUGAUAUAUCUCCUCCUUUGGCAGAUCUCCCCUUAGGUAGACCUCCCCUUAGGUAUAUAUAUCUCUCCCUUUCAUCAAAGCUUAUUGUAAGCUUUGGUAUUUAUCCUGCUUUGGCAUUAAUUUCAAAAAAGGUCAAAGGGUAAAGGAUCAUUGAGAGAGAGAGAUCCUUGAUUCUUCUCUCUUUGGUAAGGGGUCCUUAAAUUUGAAUUUUCUCCCCUUAAGAUUUUGGUAAGAGUUCCUUGAACUAUCUCCCCUAUGUUAGGGAUCGUGGAUGUUUCUCCCUCUUAUAUUGUGGGAUCACUGAGGAUUUCUCCCCCUCAAAAAAAAUUGGAAACAAGAUUAUAUCCUCCUUUGGCAAAAAUGGAAAUUUUCAAUAAGAGCUUAGGAGGUAAUAAAACUUGGGAUCACUGAACAUCUCUCUCCCCCUGAGGCAAAAAUUCAGAAUUAUUAGAAAAACAAUGGUAGUGAUAAUAUUCAGUGUCACCGAGGCAUUAUGGUUCGGUAGAACCGAGGAUGAUAGUAGGCCUAUGGGAGAAAUCGGUUAGACCAAGUUUCCCAGAUCGGUGAGCCCGAGUUGCAAUGAACAUCAACUCCUUAACUCAAACAGACAGAAAUUAUCCAGAGACUUUGAAAUAGGAAAUAUCCAAAGAUUAAAAGGAAAUAAGAGAAAACAACACAAUUUUUUAAAACAUAUACAUACAUAUAGAUGAGAGUUGAAUUGUUCCAAGAAAGCAUGCAAUGACAAUGGGAACCAUACAAGAAUCUCCAUCUAGAUGUUGGGCGGUGACUAGGUCACCUAUAUUAGAGUAUAUUGACUUGAGGAGUCAAGCAAGAAUGCUUGAUCAUAGGUCAUACUCAUUGUUUAGGAGAAAAAUGGGGUUACCAUUUUUUAUUAAGCUUUUUAAUGUCUUCAUAUCACUUGAUUUGCUUUACCUCAUGACUUGGUGCAAAGCUUUAUCAAGGAUAUGAGUACAUACCUUCGAGUGAUGUUGAUGACAUGGCAUGUAGGUGAACUUGUCGUGGAUGCUCAAUGUUGAUGAUCAUCAUAUUGAGUUUGGAGCUAUCCAUGUCGUUUUGGUUCACUUUUCACCUACAUUGGUUAGUCAUGGAAGGAAGAACAUAAUAUAUCCAAAUGACAUGAGUGAAUUUCAUCAUCAUAUAGUUGUCAAGGAUAUGAUUUUGUUGUCUUCCUCCUUCAUCUCCGAAGAAGGGGUUGUUGAUACUUGGCCAUGACAAGAUUGCUUGUGAUGUGAGUUGAUGAAAAUCUUGUGGAGUGUAUUUCUUCCAAGUACCUACAAAAGGUUAUAUGCAAUACAAAGGAGCAUAGUUUUCCAAAAUAUAAGAUAAUGUCAUAUAAAUGGCAUCAUGGAAUAGACAAUCAAGCUCAUGCCCUUGCAUGCAUCCAAGUGAGUCUAACUCAAGUUUGAAGCAUCAAUGAUGUUCAACUCACUCCUUAAAUGAAAAAAUACUUUCUCAUCAAAUGUUUUGGUAAAAAUAUCAGCUAAUUGUUUAUCGGUACGGACAUGCUUGAGAUCUAUAUGUCCUUUACCAACAUGAUCACGAAUAAAAUGAUGUCGCACUUGAAUAUGUUUAGUCCGAGAAUGUUGCACAUAAUUAUAGGCAAUUUUAAUAGCACUUUCAUUGUCACACAAUAAUGGAACAUGUCUCACAUGAAUGCCAUAAUCCUUAAGAGUUUGAGUCAUCCAUAGUAAUUGCGCACAACAUGAUUCGGCAACUAUGUAUUCCGCUUCGACAGUAGAUAAAGAUACCGAGUUUUGUUUCUUGGAUGACCAAGACACAAGAGAUCUCCCAAGAAAUUUACAUGUACUCGAGAUGGAUUUUAUAUCAACCUUGUCUCCGGCAUAGUCCGAGUUAGAAUAGCCAACAAGAUUAAAAUAAGAUCCCUUGGGAUACCAUAUGCUAAAGCUUGGUGUAUAUAUCAUGUAUCACAGUCGGACCCACAGUGGUGCCAUCUGUGUGGCCCGCAUAGGGCCCAUGAUUCUGGGGGGGCAAAAAAUUAUAUAGGCCUAGUAUUUAAAAAAACUGGGCUGGUGUUGGGCCAAAGCAGAUCGAAGGGAGCUAUGAGGGCCUCGACCGGUGGAGCGACGAGGGCGAGUCUAUCGAGGGGAGGGUGCGAGCCGCGAGGCUAUCAUGGGCGAUCAUGACGAAGCGUGCCGAAACGCCUGGUCGCCGCCUCCUCUCGUGAUCUCAUCCUCUCGUUGAGCUGCCUGCGCUUGUGCCCUGCCCAGGCCUGGCCGGCUGGCCCUGCCGCUAUGUGGUCACUGCGGUGCGCUGCCAUCUACCCUGCGCCCCUGCCGCUAUGUGCUUCAAUGUCACCAUUUAAAAAGCACUUUUGAUAUCCAUUUGGUAAAGAGUAAUAUCAUGGUGAUUGGCAUAAGCAAUAAAAAUACAAAUGCUUCAAGUCUAGCAACCGGGGCAUAGGUCUCACCAUAGUCCAUACCUUCGACUUGCGUGUAUCCUUGGGCGACGAGGCGCGCCUUGUUGCAUACAACUUGACCAUCUUCAUCUUGCUUGUUUCGAAACACCCAUUUUGUACCAAUGAUGGUGUGCUCGUCCUUGGGCUUUUUAACAAUUGUCCACACUUGCUUCCUCUCGAAGUUGUAUAGCUCUUCGUGCAUGGCAUUCAUCCAAUCCGGGUCUUGAAGGGCUUAUUCUACCUUCAUAGGCUCAAUGCUAGAUAUAAAUGAAUAAUGCUCACAAAAGUUAGCUAAACAAGAUUUAGAGCGAGUGAUUCUCCCGGUUUGUAUGUCACCGAAGAUUUUAUUCAGCGGAUGAUCUUUGUCCACUCUUGCUCGAACUUGUGACAACUUCUUCUUAUUAGAUGGUGGAGCUUCUUCAUCAUCAUCAUCAUAUUUAUCAUUGUCGUUGAUGGUGUCAUCUCCUUCGGGUGGUGGUGAGGAAGGUUGAGGUGGAUCAUCACAAUGUACUUCUUCCUCGUCUUCAUCAUGUCGUGUAUCGCUUGUGGAUGCCUCCAUGUCAUUUUGUGGUUCACCUUGAUGCGAAGUAGGAGCUUCCACUUGGGUUGAUGAAGUACUUUCCUUCACCUCCAUGGGACGAAUCUUGCCAAUAGGUAGAUCUUGGAUGGCUUCCGAAGGUUCCUUAUCUCCUACAUCAUUUGGCAAUUGUUCGACUUGGAACCAUUAGAUUCAUCAAACUUCACAUCUACCGUCUCUUCAACUUUUUGAGUGAAGCUGUUGUAGACACGGUAAUUGUGAGAGUUUGAUGCGUAACCGAGUAGGAAACCUUCAUGAAAUUUAGGAGCAAAUUUAGAGCGACGAUGCUUAUCAACAAUGUAGCACUUAGAGUCGAAUACUCAAAAGUAUCCAACUUGGGGUUUGUUACCGGUGAGUAGCUCGUAUGUCGUUUUACCGAGAAGCUUGUGUAAGUAGAGUCAGUUUAUGGCGUGACAAGUUGUUUCCAGGGCUUCUGCCCAAAAGUGUCUUGGCGUCUUCUAUUCGUCAAGCAUUGUUCUGGCCGUCUCUAUGAGAGUUCGGUUCUUACUCUCAACAACUCCAUUUUGUUGAGGUGUGUACGUCGUCGAGAACUCAUGUGAUAUACCUUCUUUGUUAAGAAAAGUAUCCAUAUUUGUGUUCUUGAACUCCAUUCUGUUGUCGCUCCAGAAUUUCUUGGUCUUCACUUGAAAUUGAUUUUGAGCUUUCCGAGCAAAGUUCUUGAAGAUCUUUUGUACAUGUGACUUAUCAUCAAGAUAAAAUACCCACGUAAAUCUGGACAAAUCAUCAAUAAUGACUAAACUAUAAGAAUUUCCAUCGAGGCUCUUGUAAGCAUUGGGUCCAAAGGGAUCCAUGUGAAGCAGCUCGAGUGGCCUUCUUGUAGUCAUGAUGUUAUUCACGGGAUGACUUCCCGACUUGCUUUCCUACUUAACAAGCACUACAAAGUCUAUCUUUGUCAAAGAUAACAUCUUUAACACCAAGAUAUGAUCACCUUUGAUAAGCUUGUCAAGGUUACGCAUACCAACAUGUCCUAGCCUUCUAUGCCAUAACCAACCUUUAGAGGAUUUUGCAAUAAGACAUGUACGGGGUUUGGAUUUUUUUGUGAAAUUGGAAAUGUAUAGAUCACCUUUGCGAAAACCAAUAAAGACCAUGUUAUGAUUGUCGCUAUGAAACACUUGGCAAUCAACUUUCAUAAAUAGCGCAUUGAAACAGAAGUGUGCUAGUCUAGAUACAGAACGAAGAUUGUAUCCAAGGGAUUCAACAAGCAUGACAUUUUUAAUGGAGCUAUCAUGAGAUAUGGCCACCUUACCAAGACCAAGUACCUUACCCUUGGAGUUAUCUCCAAAAUUCACAUACCUUCGAGGUCCAUGGUUUGGUGUGAUCUCAUGGAACAUGUCUUUAUCUCCGGUCAUGUGAUCGGUGCAUCCAUUGUCAAAUAUCCACUCUUUUCCUCUGGCCAUGUAGUGUCUAAGGUUCGCCAUAAGACUAAGGUUCAUCAUGGUCUUCUCGUACUCAAUGUCAAACUCCUCAUCUUCAACGUAGUAGCCAUGCUCCACAUUGUCAUCGUCACAUGGAAUAUCCUCGUCAUAAGAAUCAAUAAUUUCAUCAAAAUUUUGACUAUGACAAUGUUCAUGUUUAUGCAUGCGAAUGGCUUCCACGAUGACAUUGUUAUUCAUGAUGACAUCUCCUUAGCGAGCAUGAGGUAACGAAGCUAAAAAGACAUUUAUCAAAAUUAGAAUCACUUGGCUUCAUUUUGUGAAAGGCAAUGCAUUUAUGGAAAAUGAUAUCAAGAUUUUUCAGGGAAUAGUAGGGAUAUCUUUUCUCUAAGUUUUUCUACAAAGUAUGAGCACACUCAAAGUUUUGCAAUUGAUUAGGCACAUUUCUUGGCAGUCCUCUAAUGAUUAGAUAUAUAGUUUUAAGAUUACCAAGCAUAUCAAGUUCUUCAUCAUGAGAAGGAUGUAAGGGAUCAAUGGGAGGCGCAUAGGGAUAUUCAACAUACUUCCACAAAUAGAAUUCAUCAAAUAUAUCAAGCAUUCCAUCUUUCCAUUCUCUAUAAUAUUCCCCAUCAACAAUAGGCACUCUACAACUAAUAUUCCCCAAACAAGACACAUAUAUCUUCCUCCAAUGGUGUUUCAACGUUAUGAAGACCUUGCUCUGAUACUGAUACGUCUCCAACGUAUCUAUAAUUUUUGAUGGUUUCAUGCUAUUANNNNNNNNNNUUAUUUUGAAAGUUCAUGAUUACUUUGCUAGUUUGCUUGAAGUAUUAUUGUUUUCAUGUCAAUAGCAAACUAUUGUUUUGAAUCUUACGGAUCUGAACAUUCGUGUCACAUGAAAGAAGUUACAAAUGACAACUAUGCUAGGUAGCAUUCCACAUCAAAAAAUCAGUCUUUAUCACUUCCCUACUCGAGGACGAGCAGGAGUUAAGCUUGGGGANNNNNNNNNNUGGAUCUGAACAUUCAUGUCACGUGAAAUAAGUUGCAAAGGACAACUAUGCUAGGUAGCAUUCCACAUCAAAAAUUCAUUCUUUAUCACUUCCCUACUCGAGGACGAGCAGGAGUUUAUCUUGGGGAUGCUUGAUACGUCUCCAACGUAUCUAUAAAUUUUGAUGGUUUCAUGCUAUUAUCUUGUCAGACUUUGGAUGUUUUGCGUGCCUUUUAUAUAUUUUUUGGGACUAACUUAUUAACUCAGUGCCAAGUGUCAGUUCCUGUUUUUUCCAUGUUUUUGACCCCUUUCAGAGGAGAUUUUGAAACGGAGUCCAAACGGAAUAAAAUCCCCGAAAAGAAUUUUUCUGUAACGGAAGAAGAUCAGGAGGCUUCAGAGCCAAGGCAGGGGGGCAGGGGCCCCACAAGCCCUCACCCCGCGGCCAGGGUGGAGGCCGCGGCCCACGGGCUUGUGGGCCCCCUGGACACCCUUUGCCCUAGGGGUUGCGCCUAUANNNNNNNNNNUCUUGUCAAACUUUGGAUGUUUUGUAUGCCUUUUAUAUCUUUUUUGGGACUAACUUAUUAACUCAGUGCCAAGUGCUAGUUCCUGUUUUUUCCGUGUUUUUGACCCUUUUCAGAGGAGGAUUUUAAACGGAGUCCAAACGGAAAGAAUCUUCCAAAAAUAUUUUUUUCCGAAACAGAAGACGAUCAGGAGACUUGAGAACCAAGGCAAAGGGUCAUCAGGGACCCCACAAGCCCCCUAGCCGCGGCCAGGGGGCGCGCCUCCCAAGCUUGUGGGCUCCCUGGGCCUCCUCUACCCUAGAUCUUUCGCCUAUAUAUUCCCUAAAAUCCCAGAAAAAAUCAGAAGAUCCACGAAAAUACUUUUCCGCCGCCGCAAGCUUCUGUGUCCGCAAGAUCCCAUCUGGGGCACGUUCUGGUGCCUUGCCGGAGGGGGUAUUCGGAUACGGAGGACUUCUUCAUCAACACCAUGACCUCUCCGAUGAUGCGUGAGUAGUUCACNNNNNNNNNNNNNNNNNNNNNNNNNNNNNNNNNNNNNNNNNNNNNNNNNNNNNNNNNNNNNNNNNNNNNNNNNNNNNNNNNNNNNNNNNNNNNNNNNNNNCCCGCGCCAAUGCCGUUCUCGGCGGGCUCCUUGGGGUCGUAGUGGCGGUCCUCGUCCGCGCAGCGGUCCUUGCCGCCGGAACCAGAGAAGCCCCGGUACAGCGGCCGCGACAUGGCUGCUGCUGCUGCGGAUCUCACAGCCCCGACCAGCGCCACAUAGGACAACCACCGACUCCCGCUCCCGCUCCGGCUCCCAAUUCUCUCCGCAAUGGCGCCGCACUCCGCCACUCCCAGACCCGCUCCACGGCCUCGACACCCCUCCAAUCAGUCAGUCAGUCAAUCAAUGGCGCUCGCGCGGCGAGUAAGUGGGGGCGAGGGAUGGCGCAGCAGCGGAGGUACUACUCCCUACCAGCGUACCACGCCACCAAAGCAGCGCGUCCUUGGCCUUGGCCGUUCCGCG
rnacentral:lncRNA from 1 species